rnacentral:lncRNA from 1 species
UUUUUUUUUUUUUUUUUUUUUUUUAUAAAUAUAUUCCUGUCAGUCUUUCUUUAACCUUCUAAAUUGAUGUAAUUAGUUCAUUAUUAAUUUCAAAAACUGCAAUCAGCGUGCACCUAGUCAGCUUUUAUUCGUGGAAAGGGUUGGACGCAACAGCUGCCAUUUAUUACGAUCAUGCAUGGUUGUGAUGAUGACAAUUAAUUAUACUGCUGGUUCUGCAGUAUUGCUUUCACUAUAAAAAAAAAAAAGAAUUUCGAAAACAAGUAACAACGAUAUUGGCAAAUAUAUUCAUUAGUAAAAUCAAAAAAAGUUAGAUGCCAAACCCUUGGCUUUAUUAGCUAGCAAGAUACUACUGUGAGUUUAAAUAUUCUAUUAUUAUCAAGAAGGAAAACUUGAUUUAGUGAUUAAUGAGGUUGAGAUUUCACGACUUUUUAAGUUCUAAUCUUUAUUUUCUCUCUUUACUUUUUAAAUGUUGCCCCUCCUCUACUAUAAAGAGAGAGAAAGAGAGAGAGUGAGAGAUUUCCCUUCCGCUCCUCUUUCCAAUUUCUUAAAUCCUAUUCUACUAUUUUUUAAAUUUGUGCAGGCUAUGUCUAAGUUGUGAAGUGUCUUGCAUUAAAAUAAAAAAAAAAAAAAAAUUAAUGCAGAAGAAGAAGUGAGACUAAUGGUGAUUAGGUAAACUACUUUCACCCAAUUCUACAAAAAAAUCUAUAAUGAAUGGUAUCGGAAUUAGACGCGUAUGAAAAUGUUUCUUUUUUGUUCCCUAUUAAUAUACUAUAUGUUGUAUUGUGAUACUCUUAAAUUUCCUGGAUCCAGAGAGGGGAAAACUAGUUGAUCCCCAGCGGUGAGAGAGACGGCAAGACCUUGUAGCCUCGCUUGUCGGGCCAAGUUUUAUUAGACUUCCUAUAGACUGUUGUGUGACCACCAAUUAAGUACAGUAACUCGCUAUCUACUUAUACUGGCUAAUUAAUAAAGAAGCAACCGCAGUAAUUUUUAAGGGCCAACGAGGUUAGAAGCUGUAGCAAGCUACUUUUGGAAGAAAAAAACUUUUUGUGUGUUUUUUUUAACAAGCCUGAAGAUCAUCAUGUUACAGUUUAGAUUGUUCAUGUUUUUAUAUCUCCCGACUCAUAUCGCUUAACUUCUCCCAGAGCUAACUUAAUCUAAAUUUGGUUUACUAUUAUUUUCAAAGUGGAUAUCUAACAAGCUAGCUGCUGCAUUAAUCUUGUUUCAAGUCUACGAUUGCUUUUGCAGGUGUGAAAGCCACGUAGCUAUGUUCGUUCAAAGACACCUUGAGAGAGAGUAAACGUUCAUACAUGGAGAGUUGAUAUGGGAAGAAUCAGAACGAAAAGGCAAUUAAGGAGAAGCAUCAGAUAUGUGCGCUUUGUACUUUGAUGGAAGUGAUUGAAUACAGAACCGUGUAGCCGUACGCAACGAUACUAAGAACAAAUGACAGUGAUAAGGGUCCUUAAUGACUCCGACCAGUCCAAGUUCCGAUGAAAUGAUGUACUUAAUUACUACUUACCAUUCAUUUAUUUUUAUUUUUUUUUAUAAGACAGCGAAAUUACUUACCAUUCAUGAUCUCUGCCUCGGUGACCCGCUAACAAAACAUACUAUAAGGAGGUUUAUUGAGUAUUGACAAGCUAAACAUUGGCAGUUCGGAAUCCGAUAAGGAGGUUGAUGGUUCCUUAUUUUUUUCCCCCCUCCCCUCCACAGGCCCUUCCUGUCCCCAAGCUGUCGAGUUUAGGAGGGCGAUUUUUAAUCUUUGUGUAUCCGUACAUUUUUUUGAGUUACUUUUCCUUUCAAGUUAUCAUUAUUGUUUUUCUUUUCUCCGUAAAUUCAAGAAGUGAAAACAUAAAUAAAGAGAAGAAUCGAAUCCACAACCUUUAAUUCUUAAUAUUUCCAAUUUCAGUUAUUAGAUCAAAACCUCUUCGACUACUAAACUGGAGUUUCUAUUUUUUGAAGUCUUAAUUUUAAUCACUAAACCAAAAUUACUUUUUCUUUUUUGGGUUAGUUCAUAAUUUUCAACUGCUUGUAAUCCCAUACACUUUGGAUAAAAAGGAAAUAAGCAAGGGCUUUCAUCAUGUUUAGAUCACACACCAGCUAUAAAACUUUACUAGCUAAAAUCCCAAAUCGAAAAAAGUUAUAGAUUAACCAACAAGCUUCUCUGAGGUUUGGAGUGUUUGAUUUGGUGAGGCUGACUGGCUGAGGCAUGCCAUUUGGAGCCUUGAUUCUCGAACUAGUCAUUGAGAAUAUGAUAAGCAACAGACGCUUUUUGGGCAUUAACAAUACUAGUAGUAGAAGUUAUGGAAAGCUUAGCUUGGCUAAGACUGUCCAAAUAUCGCCACGUGGCAGACAGAUGCUUCCGAACCUUUCUACCACUUCAACAGUGACGCGUUGCAAAGUAAAAGCCAUUAUGGAUAUUACACGUCGGACAUUGCCAUUGGCGCCCGCCAGAGAACCGGUGCAGAUGCUGACGCGGGGCGUCACUGUCAAAAGGGCCCCACUGGACCUCACACAAAGGAAGUAAAGAGAUCAGGCGUAGUGAUGCCCUAAUCACUCCGUGACAAAACCCCCUGCAUCAUUUAAUCUACCCCUACUCUUUAUUUCGAAUACCAUUUUUUUUUUUUUCACUGUUGUUCACGUUACUUUAUACCGCAUCAUUUUCAAAAUGUUAAGCUAAGAUUUACCACUGUCAAUUGGAGGCCUUUGGUCAUAAGUUCAACCUCUAAAACAAAUUUAUGUCUCCUUGUCAGUGACAUUGUAACAUUUUUAAGGCACAAACACAGCGUUUCAUUACUCGAUUAUAUUAAAUUUUAACCUUUCUCUGUGAGCAAGCUAAGGGCCCUUUUUAACUUUGUGCACAACGUAAUGACUCGCUGUUUUCAUAUCAAGUUUGACACCAGUGUGCUUCAGUGACACGCUUAAAUUUGUAUUGUUGCACUAAGCGUGAUCGGAGUAGCUGUUUACAAGCUGCUAACUUUAUGUGUUUGAACUUAUCAUCUGAUCGAAAAGUGAUAGCGAUUCACCGUUGGGGUUAGAGUGAUCCAGCAUCAUGGAUAUAUUUCGGCCCGUUCAAUAGCAUUAUGCAUUGUUAAAUAAUCAAACGAAUAUAAAAUGAUGCAAAUAUGACAUGUUGAGCUGGUUCUAAGAGUCUCAAAAAGAAAUCUUGGGGGGGCGGGGGGGAUUUAGUCUAAUCAACCCAUAUUACCCCAUCAAAGCCUUAAUCAUAUUUAUCACACUCCAUUCCCUGCUCUUUGUCCUUUCUUACCUGGUUGCUUCCUGAUGUCUGAAGAACUAAAUAACUGCUUAUAAGAGCGAAGAGGACAAAUCCCGUAGUUAGGAACCAUAUGGGUAGAUGAGGGGGGUUUGUCACAACCAAUGCGGAUACUUUAAGUGCUAAUUCUUGAUGCGUGGGUCAUCUCUGUUUAUUAUUAUUAUUUUCUUUUUCUAACUUUGAGAGCGAGAUGCGAUGCCAAUCAAAAUAAAAGCGUGUAUUAUUACAUAAUUGGUAGGGAAAUGCAUUAAUAAUGUAAAAGUUAAUAAUGUUGUUCUCAUCAAAAGUUAGUGCUGUAAACCUGUAACCAGGCAGCAGCACUAGUCCUUUAGAUUCCAAAACAGGGGUAAUUAGGCAAAACAUAAUAACACCUCGACGGUAGCCAUCAUGGGGCCGGACUUCCACAACCUUUUUAUUUUUUUCCCUUUUUUCUUUUCUUUCCUUCCUCCCUCUCUCUUUAUUACAGUACUACUUUUCUUUCCCAUGUUUUUGGUUCUCCCAUUUCCCACAAUUCCACUCCAUUUGCUGACACACUAUAAAAUUCAUCAAAUGGGAAGUGGGAACCUUAAGAUUAGAAGAAACAAAGGGAAAUUAUCAUUUGACCAAAGGGAUAAAACGUAGCGUUUGAUUACAUGUAAGGUAAUAAAACUAAUACUGUAAACUCAAAAAAAGUGUAGUCUACCUCUACCAAAGCAUCAAACUAACUGUUUGCAAAAUAAAUUCUAUUCUCGCGGUCUCUAUUCCUUUAUGCGCUAAGUACUUUCCCAUUCUUGAAAGCGGACUCUCAUUCUAAUUGUUACCAUUCUUCUUCUUCUUUUUUUUUCCCCCUCCUACUUAUGUUCUAAAAUACUUGAAAACCAAAAAAAAAGGGGGAAAGGCCAGUUAAGCGGUGGGGUUUGAGGCAUGAGCUGCAGGAGUUGUGUACUGGAAUACACUCUGGGCUGCAUCCGUGCAGGUGGAGAAGAGUGUAAAAAGCAAAAGUGGGCAGCAGCAACAGCGUUACAGCAUAAGUAUUCUAGUACUCGUGGAAAAAGCAAUGAAUUAUCUUGCUCUGUGGAACAAUUUGGAGCAUACCUUUUCUACCCUUGUCGGUUUUUACUAGUAAUAAAAAGAUGAUGAUAGGAGUUUUGAGUCUUGGCCUUUGGGAACGUAAUUCCUUCAAUUAUUAUAUUCCUAUUAGUCUGAAAUGAAUAAAAUAGUAGUAGCAGUAAAACAUUAUGAGUUUUUCUUGAAUACUCUUUUUUUUUUUUAAUGGGUUGGAUGGAGAUAGAAUGGAUAGAGAUAAUGGCCUGUGCUAGCAGACAUUUCCUACCACCAUAUUCUUCUCAUCUUCGCUUUCACAGAUUCUUGUAGCAUAGUGUCCAUUGAAUCCAGUUUUCUUUUUCUUUUCUCGCUGUUGCCUUUAUUCAUUCUGGUACAUUAGUUACUAUUCUAUCAUUAAUCUUCUCUGAAUUAUUGCCUCCCUCCUGUCUCCUAAACUACACAAGAGUUUAGCUAACUUGGCUGUGUCUUGAGAGUCAAACUUCUCUAGUAAUAUCCAUAAAAAUACGAGGCAACCUUUUCCUGCAAACCAUGCUGACUGUCAGAUUUUAUUGUUGGGGGGAGUCACUACUGUUAUCGUCUGCUUUAGUCUAUGGUUUCUGAGUUGUUCUUGUUUUCUGAUUUGAUUGAUUUAGUUUGUGAGAGAAUCUAGUUUGGUUUGUUUUAGCCCAAUUCUUCAUCUUGGUUUUGGCUGGUGCUUGUAGACAGGAUAAAAAUUAAAAUUCUGUCCUGUAAUUGGAAAAAAAGUAGGAAUCUUGGGGGAUUCUUUCAUUCUUGCUUGGGUCAUUUUGGGAUUUCUUGUCUUCCCUUAAUUCUGGGUCCUCCCUCUGGCAAGCAGUUUGGGUGGAUAAGAUAGAAUCAUUUUUAGGCUUCUUAGCUCUUAUCAACUUAAUUGUCUCCUGAUUAUGAGGUCGGUGGCCUCAUUUCCUUGUUAUUUUUUGUUAUUUGCUUCCAAAGUUUGAAUUUUUACGCUCUUAGUAGGUCUAACUAGACAGUUUCUGUAGAUUUGACAGUUUGGGGGAGGGGGUGGAAGAUGGGAAGUCCUUUAGUUUCUCCCAAAUUUAGCCAGGGGUUGAAAAAGUAUUGAUCGGAGACUGUUUGAAGUUGAACCGUUCUUUUUACCAAGUCACUAUCUUGGAUGAGUCUACUCCAUGUUAUUGGAUUUGGAUUGAAGGUGGGGCAUCUAAUUCUGGUGCUAUGUUGCUGGUUUGUCUCUUUGUUUUCCCUGAAUUGGAUAAGUAAUGGUGGAGUGAUGACCACAAAGACUGGUUUGCUUGCUGAUGGAGAGCAGCUAUGGAUGAAAUUGUGGGAGAAGAUCUCAGGUAAGAGUUUCAAGAUCCAUCAUCACUACUCCCAGUACAUUGGGCCCAAGAGAGUGAGAAGAAACUGGUGGAAGAAGCUUUUGGUAGCAUGGAUAGUUGUUGGGAUUCUAGUUUCUGUUUCGGUCUUCUGGUACAUGAACUCCUUAGCUACGGAGAAGAGGAAAGAGACCAUUGCAAGCAUGUGCGAUGAGAGAGCUAGGAUGCUGCAGGAUCAGUUCAACGUUAGCAUGAAUCAUAUCCAGGCUAUGUCUAUUUUAAUUUCAACCUUCUACCACAGCAAGAAUCCCUCGGCAAUUGAUCAGGUAAACUUUUGUCAUCACCUCUACUGUAUGAAAGAAAUGUUCUACUUAAUGGAGACUAGUGAUUGGCUUCUUGCAUCUCUUGGUUGUCCUAAUUACCUUGAGAGAGACAUUUGCAGCUUAAAAUGUGAUCAGAUUGAAGUUAUCUCUGUCCGACUGGUCAAUUUGAGCUUUAGAUUCUAGCUUGUUUGUCAUCUAGGUACUUCUGCUUAUAUUGCUUCACGUAAAGUUUUCUUAGCUUUGUGGCUUUCUUUUCCCAUACCUCGUGCUUGGCCAGAGAGAGUUGCUUCUUGGUAUUUUCAAGGAAUAUAUUAGUGUCCAUUUUUAUAUAACCAUAGGAGUCCUGACUGUUUCAAUGAUGCACUUUUGCUGACUACUAGAUCCAGACGCUUUUCUAUUGUCUCUAGGGUUCUGUUCAGGAACAAUCUAACUUACCAAAUUUCAUAGAUGACAUUUGCAAGGUACACAGAGCGAACAGCCUUUGAGAGACCUCUUACCAGCGGAGUGGCAUAUGCUGUAAGGGUGCUUCAUUCUGAAAGAGAGCAGUUUGAGAAACAACAAGGCUGGACUAUUAAGAGAAUGGAUAGCAUUGAGCAGACACCAGUUCAUAAAGAUGAGUAUAGUUCAGAAGUCCCAGAGCCAUCGCCAGUUCAGGAGGAAUAUGCUCCGGUCAUCUUUGCUCAGGAUACUAUUGCCCAUGUAAUUUCUCUUGAUAUGCUCUCUGGAGAGGUAAGCUUUAUUUGUCUCAACACUCUAGUUGGACUUUUCCAGCUUUAGUCAGGCAUGCAAAUAGAGUGAAUUUAAGCUGUUUUUCUGAAUGUUUGGAAGAUAGAGAGGAUUGGUAAUUGUAAUAUUCCAGCAGCACAGUUGACUUGGAUUGCUUUCAACUUGAAACAUUUUUACCUUCUCUGCUCCGCUUAACAGAUUAGGAAAGAAAAGAAAGAUUUGUUUGAUUCCUUGUAUUGAUCCCCCACAGGAAGAUCGUGGGAAUAUCUUGCGUGCAAGAGAAUCUGGAAAAGGUGUACUUACUGCUCCUUUCAGGCUAAUCAAAUCAAACCGCUUAGGUGUAAUAUUGACUUUUGCUGUGUACAAGAUGGAUCUACCCCCUGAUGCAACCCCAGAUGAGAGAACACAAGCAACUGAUGGGUAAGUGAUUGAAUGUGACUUGUUUCAUUACAGUUGCCUUGGCCUUUUUGAUGGGUUUUGUUCCUUUAGUUCUAGUGGAAAAAAAAAAGAAAUGGAAAUUCUUACUGCACCAAAGGAAAUGGAAAAUAGAGGUAUUGAUAAUCAUUGUUGAAUGCAUUCCAAAUAUUACUCCAAUCUUCAGGGAUUAGGGCUUAUCCUGCCUCUCAACCCAAAACAACAUGAAGGAAGAAAGAGGGAAUGAAAAGUAUUCAACUAGUCAUACAGCUAUCAAACUGCAUCUAAAGAAACAACAAUUGAACUACUCUAAGAGGAACUGAUUGCUUUCUUGGUUUAGUAGUCAUUCCUGGAUCAAUGAAACCCUUUCAGUAGUAUGUUGUCAAACUAACUGUUGACUGCUACUUGUAGGUUUAAUGAAGAUACUAAGAAGUUUUAUGCUUGUAACGUAUUCUGGUUAGUAGACUGGAUUUAUUCAAACGUUUCUGGUAUUCAACUUAUUCCAAGCAGGUACCUAGGUGGUGUCUUUGACGUUGAGUCUCUGGUAGAGAAGCUACUUCAACAGCUUGCAAGCAAGCAAACUAUCCUGGUAAAUGUCUGUGACACUACAAAUAUAUCCCAUCCUAUCAGCAUGUACGGUUCAAAUGUAUCCGAUGAUGGGCUGCAGCAUGUUAGUGCCCUCAACUUUGGUGAUCCAUUCCGCAAGCAUGAGAUGCGAUGCCGGUAUAGCAUUCUUUUACCCAUGCACUGUUUAUUUCCUGUAUGUUUUCUAUGGGUCCUUUCAGGUUGUUAACUCACUGAGCACAGGUUGCCUAUUUACCUACGCCUAAACAUUUAUGAUCAUUCAAAUGAAAGUGGAAGCAUAGUCAAAAUUUUCCAAAUCAUGCUCUUACUUGAACUUUCUGCACCAUGUGCUCUAUUUUGGAGAGUUCUUUGGUAAUCUUAACUUUAUCUCUGCUAGAGGAUUCCAUUAUUCAUAUGUUUUCUAACUGAUAUUAUUGUCACCUAAAAAUAAGCAAGGAUAUUUAUAAAAUGUAAUAGAGGUGAAUAUGGGGUUAGGAGUUGAUUAUUACUAGGAUGGACUUAACUUGUUCUUGUCCAAAAACUGCAACUAAAGACACAAACACAGAUAUGGAAACAUACACAUUAUAGUUGUAAGUACUUUUUCUCAUAUGCAUGUCUGCUUGUGUGCCCUAUAUACUAUGAACUUUCCAUAUGUUGCCGUGUUUGGUGGGGAUGAGGAGGCUAUUUGUGGUCUGAUUGUGAGUGCCUUUCAAGUCUUUGUUCAGGGUUGUUUGGUUUGGGGGGGUGCUGGGGGAGGGAUUGGGUGGAGGGGAAGAGACAGGGUGGGUGAUAAUGAGGAGUUGCAUGGAGCAGGUGUUGGAGUGCAGGAUGGAAGGGUGUGGCAGAUUGAUAGCCUGCUGCAUGACUCUUUCCAAGAGGGUAAUUAUGAGAAAGGAAGGGGAGUCAUCAUUGGUGGUUCUUUUUCUGAGCUGGUGAUGGACAUGAGCAGGAGAUCUUGCAAGGAGUGUGUUCUGGUUCAGUGUCAGAGAAGUAUAUGGGUUCAAUUGCCACCCUUGAUGUUUCAUAAUUGGUGGUGAAAGUAAUCUAUUGCAUCUUGCUGAUGAAGUUUUAUUGUUGAUGCAGCUUCAAACACAAACCACCUUGGCCAUGGCUUGCAAUAACAACCUCAAUUGGCAUACUUGUGAUUGCAUUGCUAGUGGGACAAAUAUUCCAUGCCACAGUAAAUCGAAUAGCCAAAGUUGAGGAUGAUUAUCAUGAUAUGAUGGAGCUCAAAAAGCGUGCUGAGGCGGCUGACAUUGCAAAAUCACAGGUACAUUUUACUUUUAGUUUAAGUGCAAAAGUGUCUCCCCACAUUGAGAAUUUGUUGAUAAAAUGUCUGAUGUUACAUGCGACUUGCUGUAGUUUCUUGCCACCGUUUCUCAUGAGAUCAGGACUCCCAUGAAUGGUGUUCUAGGUAUGUCUGCAAGUUCUUGCCCUAAUAUUGCUAUUUUUAUUCAGAUGCUUCCAUCUGUUUGGAGCAAGAGACUGAUGUCAUCAAAUAUGUCCAAUUUCUAGGGAUGUUGCAUAUGCUUAUGGACACAGAUCUAGAUGUAACUCAACAAGAUUAUGUCAAAACUGCACAGGGAAGUGGUAGAGCUUUAGUUUCUCUUAUUAAUGAGGUUCUAGACCAGGCGAAGAUUGAAUCUGGUAAACUCGAGCUUGAGGCAGUGCGCUUUGACCUGAGAGCUAUUCUGGAUGAUGUUUUGUCACUGUUUUCAGGAAAAUCACAGGAAAAAGGUGUCGAGGUACUCUUAUCAAUUAGGCUUCUGAUGAUUUUCCUAUUUUACACUUGCUUCAUUUGCAUCUUUAUUUUAGCUAACGUGCUUUUUAAAAAAAAUAUAUAUAUAUUAAAAAAAAAACUUGUAUGCAGUUGGCUGCCUACGUUUCUGAUAAGGUCCCUGAAAUGCUAAUUGGUGAUCCUGGGAGAUUUCGACAGAUAAUUACGAAUCUGAUGGGUAACUCGAUCAAAGUAAGUGCAUUUCUGAUUUGAUUUUCCUUUUUUGGUCUGUGAAAGGAAAAGAUCAUGCAGAGGAUAAUAACUUUUUUUAGCUGUUCUCCCAGACAAAAAAUAAUAAUAAUAAUAAUAAGAUACAUAGAAAGGGAAGUCCCACAAUUACUGAUCCUCUUUCUUUCAUUUGGUAUUUGUUCCUACUUUACCACAAUACUGUAGGUUUACACCAGUAUGCAAUGUACAAACCAAUUCUUUUAUAUGUCCUGGCCGCCUCUUUUUGAAAAGAAGCCUGUAAUUUCUAGGACUGCAGUAAAGGGAUAACUUUGAUAUUCUCAAAUUCUUGAGAGAACAAUUAUCAGAAAAUUCCUGUUCACUACACUGGGAUAUAAAUCAGGCAAAUAUGAUGCCCAUGCAGUAAAUCUAAACAAAAUAGUAAAUGAGACCUUGAUUUAAACUAUUGUAAUUAACGAAAAAGGAUGAAUGAGUGCUGCCAAAUUUAUUUGAAACAAGAGCCAAGAUUUCUGCUUAUAUUUCUCCUGAAGAAUUUUUAGCGAUGAUAAUGGAUCAGAAUAAGAAUGCUUUACUUUUCCUUCUGCAAAGAUAGUGUCUAAUUUGUACAUGUUUCUUUUGCUUGGAACUGACUAAUAUUUUGUCUAUUUGUAGUUCACGGAAAAAGGACACGUACUUGUGACUGUCCAUCUUGUUGAAGAAGUGGUGGAUUCUGUUAAAGGUGAAACAGAAUCAUAUUCAGAUGACACAUUGAGUGGGUUGCCUGUAGCUGACAGACGACAGAGUUGGAGAGGAUUUAGAGGUUUCAGCCCAGACGGACCUAUUGCAGCAUUACCGUCCUCCUCAAUUGACGAAAUCAAUCUAAUUGUAUCAGUGGAGGACACAGGUGCAGGAAUUCCUUCAGAAGCUCAGUCUCGUAUAUUCACCCCCUUCAUGCAGGUGGGUCCCUCAAUUUCCAGAACACAUGGAGGCACUGGCAUAGGAUUAAGCAUAAGCAAGUGUUUGGUCCAGCUCAUGAAAGGCGAAAUAGGGUUUGUAAGUUUGCCAAAGAUGGGAUCCACUUUCACUUUUACAGCUGUUUUUGCCAAUGGUUCCGGUAAUUCAAAUAACCCGAAGGGCAAACAAAUCAACAAUCAAUCCAACUCUAUUUCUUCGGAGUUCCACGGCGUGAGAGCGCUAGUUGUUGAUCCAAGGCCUGCACGGGUCAAAGUGUCAAAAUAUCACAUUGAGCGCCUUGGGAUCUGUGUUGAAGUAGUUCCUGAUUUGAACCGUGCAUUUUCUAGUAUUAGCACCAAGGAGGCUACCAUAGAUGUUGUUUUCAUUGAACAGGAAGUUUGGGAUAAUGAUUUUAAUACGUCUACUCCGUUCGUCGAGAAAUUAAGAGGGACUGACAUUAGUGUUGCACCAAAACUGUUUCUUUUAUCUAAUUCUUUAAGUUCUACCCGAUCGACUGUUUCAGCUUCUGGUAUUCCUGCUUCAUCCGUUAUCAUGAAGCCAAUAAGGGCAAGUAUGCUUGCUGCAUCCCUGCAACGUUUAAUGGGCGUUGGUAGUAGGGGAAAUUCGUGCAAUAUAGAGCUUCCUCUGAGUCUUGGAGAUCUGCUUCGGGGAAGAAGAAUUCUUGUGGUAGAUGAUAAUAAAGUGAAUCUAAAAGUAGCAGAAUGUUUCUUGAAAAAGUAUGGUGCUGAUGUGGUCCGUUCAGAUGGCGGGGAAGAAGCAGUCUCACUCUUGGAGCCUCCCCAUAAGUUUGAUGCCUGUUUCAUGGAUAUUCAAAUGCCAAAGAUGGAUGGGUAUGUACAUCUGAUCGGUUUCUGUAUUAUUGUAGAUUUAUGGAUGCUAGGAAAUAAGCUUAAUUGAUCCCUUUAGGAAUCUCAUUCAUAUGAUGGGACUUCACGCUUAUUGUUUUCAAUGAUUAAAAAAGUCUGAUCGUCAUUUGAAUCAUCAUGCUAGUAUGGUAGCGUAGACUGCUGUUGGAAAACUUGAAUUUACCAUUCGAGUUUUCCUUUCUUUCAUCCCGUGCAAUGGUUUAAAGAUCACAUGACUUGAAAUCUCGCAGGUUUAAAGCUACAAAGCUUAUCCGCAGCAUUGAAUCUAAAGUAACUUCUCAAAUCGAACAAGGGGAGUUGUCCGUUGAAGCUUUUGACAAUGUUUCAAGCUGGCAUGUGCCCAUUUUGGCCAUGACAGCUGAUGUGAUCCAGGCUACAAAUGAAGAAUGCACAAAAUGUGGAAUGGAUGGCUAUGUAUCGAAACCAUUUGAUCCUGAGCGGCUUUAUCGUGAAGUAUCACGCUUUUUUUAGAUUGUAUCGAAUGAAAACUAGCUAGGAACCUGGUGAAUGCCCGAUGUGCUCCAAGAGAAGUGCUUAUCGGAGGUGUCUUGGCUUCCUCAAGUACUUGGUGGAUUUUUCCCCAGUGAGUAUCUUAACAACCAAAUCUAAAUGCUCAAGACACUGGUGCCACUGCUGGUGCUGCAAGUCUGACAUUCUUCAUCUUUUCUUGGUAUUUUGGCAGUAAAUUGAUUUCUCCAUUGGACUUGGGAGUGUACAUGUUAGCCGAGGAUUUGUGUUCGUGGCAUUCACUUCGCCUCAGAUAGACAACUGAGUUUUUCAACUUAACCUUCUUUUGAUAUUUGAAGCCUUAAAUAGGGCAGUCUGACCAGACUCGAGGAAAAUUUUUUGAAGAAUCGAGUCUACAAUUGAAGCUCUGCAGUUUAUCCCAUUUCCCAUUUGCGAGAAUGGAAAUCAGCCUGGAAGAUGAACUCUUAAUCGUCGCUCUUCUGCAACAUAUGGGGAGGAUCAUCUCUGCACCAUAGAUAUUGAAUUAGUUGAUGGUGUGAAAUGCCACGUCUUGAUAAUAUAUACCAGGAUAUGCAUCGAUGUAUAGUUGUGUAUAUAUUUCAACGACAAUAAAACAAUCAAUUGUGUAGGAGAGUUUCCAAAACCAACCUAUGCCGAAUUGUUCUUUUGACAAUUACUAUUGUCUGCUUUUUUAACAAGGAAGCAGCCAUGUAAAAAAGUAGUACAGGGAGUAAAACUGGUUCGAGUGUAAAAUGAUAAUUUUGGUGGUUCAGUAUAAAUUUUGUCCAUUUUUUGAAUAAAAAGGUGGCCACAAUUGCAUCGAGUGCCGAAGUGGAAUUUUUCUUAUCCUUCAUUUUAGAAGGCUCGUUCUUGUGAUUUCCUUUUCCGAGGCAACUGAGCUGCGUCCUCUUUUUUUCCUUUUUCCAUUCAUCAAUGCCCGUGUCUGUCUGGCGUGGGAUUCCGAUGUUUUGAGGUUUUUCGUUGAAUGAAAGAAAUCAUAUUAACGACAGGUAUAGAGGAAAAUCCCUCUGCAGACAUGUGUCAGGAUUAGCACCUUGUUCGGGCGUCUCUCCCUUGAACUGAAUUGGAGUAACAAGGAUCUUAGUUUGGAGGAGUUUAGUUUUCGGGAUAAGGCCAAAACUUGAAUCCAAAGGGAACUUUACCUCUAGUAACAUAGUAUGACUCAUAUUUUUGACUGAAAUAACUACUAUAUGUCAGAGGAUAAAGUUGGGCACCCUCAUAAUUUAUUAGGAAAAACCUUAUAAAUAGUAACAAGUUAAACUAAGAAAAAGUAUACUUAAUGAUCAAGUUAAAAUUGCUAAUAGAACAACUCUACAUGGGUUAAAGACCCGAAUAGAUGUUGCCCAGACAGAGUGGGUGGAUAAACUACGUAGUAUACUGUAGGUUUAUAUAACUACGUCCUGAACUGUCACGAAAGAAAUUUCAUUUGCCUUAACUUAUGGAAAGGCAGUAAUCCAAGCAGAAAUUGGGUUGCCUUCAGCGAGGGUACAAAAUAUCAUCGCGUAGAAUAACGAGGAAGAGAUGAGAUAUAACUUGGAUGAGUUGAACAAAAAAUGGAGGAAGUAGUAAUAAAAAUGACCAGGUACAAAAGGUGAAUAGAUUAAUAUUACAACGCUAAAGUUAGACGAUCAAUCUGUUCGGCUGCUUUGGGGUUAUAAUUGGAGAAAUUUCCAAUAUCCAACCCAGGGAGAUUUAGGGUCUGUAUCUCAUGAAAAGUAGAGGAGUACCCAUACCGAAGGAUAGGGGUAUUCAAGAUAGCUAGGUCGGCAAGGAAUUCCUGAGACUUCAGAAAAUUCUUGACCCCUAACUUCUAGCCUUCUUCGAGAGUAGCAGUGUGCUUGGCUUCGAGUUCUACUAAUCUUUUUUGUUCAACCUCUAACUAAGCAAAUAGAGCAGAAACCUUCUUGCUCUCUGAAGAAGCGCUGAGCUUCCCCGGACCGAGUUGACCUGAUGAGUACGGCGUGCUGAUGAGGAGAGCGCGUCCCAAGCCUGCAAAGCAAACAAGAGGGUGAUCUGACAGGGGAGCCCCGAGAUCGUCCCCGAGGGCACUCCGACGGUCAAGUUAGUUCUCCGGUGAGUGAGAUUCACGGGAAGUAACACAGUCGGGAGUAACUGGCGUAUAGUGAGCGUACCUUGUGCAGUUGAUGUGUGUUACCAUUUAUACCUGCUUGGGAGUUCGACCUCCGUACGUUUCGGGACCUGUCCAGAAUAGUCUCAAUCCCGCUCUGAGGGGGAUCCUCCCCGCCUUCUACGGGAUCAUUCCCUGGAGCUCCUCGGAGCCCUAGCAGCGGAGGACCGCGGGACGGUUCUCAUGGGCCCGGGGUCUAAGCCCAGUUCAGGCCUCCCUGGGCUGCCACGUGUAUAGGCCCAGGACGGGGCUUCUGCACUAGCCCCUUAAAUUAGGUAGGGCUUCCGGGCAGACCUAAUCUAUACCCCUGCCACGUGGGAGCCCAGCGUCGCACUGCUCUGCCGCGGUCACCUCCGGUACAGUGCUGUCAUUGGAAAGCUGCGCCCGCGUCCCUUCAGUUGUCGCGUCUCUUCGGUUUCCGUACCGCGCUUAAAUGCGUUCACAUGGGGCGGUUCAAAUUUAAGCAGCCGUUUCUCCCCCAUUUUGCUCCCUAUAAAUAGGGAUUCCCAGAUUUUCUCAGACUCUAUUUGCCAUUUUCCUUUCUUCAAGUAUUCUUGCGAUUUUCCCUUCUUCACGUAUUUUCUCCUACUACCAAAAGUUCUCGCGGCAAGACUUCCGGCCAUCAGUACCCAGAUUCCGGCGAUUCCUUCGUCUUUUUCCACUCCGAUCAUUAGUAAGUUUUUUUCCCCCUCCUUCGCAUUUUCUUUUCCUCCUUUGCCACCUUCUGCAUUUUAUGUCGGAUCGUUCCGGCGUUACUUCCACCGUAUCCCAAACUCCGACCCGUCGUAGAGCCCCCAGAAUCCUCAUUUCCUCCUCGUCUUCGUCCUCAUCUUCAUCUUCAUCUUCCCCUCCUCCUCUCUCUUCUUCCUCUGCCUCCAAUCCCAACUUCCUCAUUCCUGACCUGUUUGAGCCCAUUGACAUCAUGAGCUCCCCAUCUACCCAUUCUCCUUCUGCCCGACUCCUGGAGGAGGUGGCCGAGCUCGAUUCCCUCAUCGAGCAGCAAGGCACUUCUAUUCCCUCCCCCGAGUCUCCACAUGACUCCCCUGGCGGAGCUCAGGGGGGAGCUGGGGAGGACAGGGACUCCUCCGAGGGGACCCCUGCUUCCGAGCAGGGGGAUGAUUCUGAAUUCAACUACGGUCACCCCGACCGGCAGGAGGUCACCCUCUCACCCGAGGCAGUGGCCGAGCUGGCCGGGUCUUUUUCCAUCCAUCCGGCCUUCGAGCCGCGAGCCGCCGGACCCAACGAUCGAGCCUGCCGACCUCCCCCUGGCUUUGUAGCCAUUUACAGGGAGCAGCGGCUCGCUGGGCUCCGGCUCCCCAUUCCUCCAGCCCUGGCGGAGAUCCUGAGCUACUGGGGGCUCCGGAUCACCCAGGUCCACCCCAACUCGAUCAGGAUCAUCAUUGGAUUCCUGAUCUAUUGCCAGAUCUGUUCCAUCCCCUACUCACUUUCCCUCUUCCGGGCCUCUUACAUCCUCAAGCUCUCCCUCCCUGGGUGGUACUACUUCUCCCGCCGAGGGGCUAACCAAGUUCGGGGGGGAAAGGGCACCCAGGAUUUACUCUAUGGGGUCCCCUCUUCCAUAAAAAAUUGGAAGGGGGACUUCCUCUUUGUAAAAUCCACGAGCUUUCCCCCGAACGUGUGGAAAGUCGGGGAGGUCGACUCCGACCCCUAUCCGGAGGACCUGGACCCCGAGGCCCUCGGCCAACUGAUGAACUCCAAGGUAAAACUCUAUGCCGCCAAGUUCUCCACCGAGUAGAUCUCUGCGGCCGGACUGAUGGGGACGUUGUCCGGGUCCCCUGGAGAGGUGGUGGCCUCCCCUACCGACCUCGAAACCUGUAACGCCGACUCUGUCCCUGUAGCUCGUUGUAUUUAUAUAUAUAUAUUAUAUUUUUCCCUACUGACCUGUUUUGGCUGACCUGGCUAUGUUUGCCGCAGUGAGGAAGCUCUCCAGGCUACUGGGCGCGCCACCCGAGCAGGUUGCUCCCGCCACGCAGCCGGAGGCAUCGAAGAAGGCCUCCGAGACCUCUCCGACUCCUGGGCGCAACUCGGCCCCUCAGAAGGAGGCCUCCCAAUCUCAGUCCCCCUCCAAGCAGGCCGCCAGCAAGAAGAAGGCGGCCGGGCAGAAGAGGGACCGAGGGGAUGAAGCCCCCCAGCCCGAGAAGAGGCUCGCCCUCACCCAAGCACAGCCCCCUCCCCUGCUAACGUCGGGAGGCCCCGUCCACCUGGGGGUUGGUUCCGCGGAGGAGCACGCCCAGGAGACGCCUCCCCCCAGCCUGUGGCAUUUCCGCCACGUGGCACCUGUGAAAUCGGGCCAGGCCCCCUUUAUGCACGUCUCCCGCCGCUUCUGUCCGUCAUGGGGGCUCUCUAUCAAUAACCGAGCCCAGUUCCCCGAGGUGGCUCGCGAGUUGGUCACGGGUUCGGUCCUCCCGCGUGACAGGAGGUGGAUGGACCUGGCGAGCCCGUCCGAGCUCCAGGACAUGUACUUCACCGCCCAGGCCCAAGUAAGCCUUCUUCUGCUUUGACCAUAUGUGCCUCUGUUUCCCCCUUGGUGGAGUGCUAAUUUUUACUUUCCUUUUCUCAGGCCAAUGCCGCCGGCGCUGCCCUGGUGACCCGCUUCUCCGAGCUGUCUCCCGAUCUGGAGAUGUUGCAGAAGAAGAAUCGGGAGACCGAGCAGAAGCUUGCCCAGGCCCUUAAGGGAGAGGACUCCCUUAAGGCCAAGUUGGGCAAAGCCGAGAAGGGGCUGGAGGAGGCCCAAGUCUAGCUCGCCGCCACUCUGUCCAAGUUGGACCAGGAAAAGAAGGGCGUGGCGAAACUGAGGGAGGACCAUGCCAUUGAGCUCUCCGGCACCGUCAGCCGGGAGCGCAAGAAGGCUGUUCGGGGGUUCAUCUCCUCUGAAUAGUUCGCCGAGGACGUGGCCCUCCUCAACCAGCCCAUCCUCCAGGUCGGCGUCACGCGGGCCCUGGACCAGAUGAAGGGCCUCAACCUGCCCGGCUUCAACUUGGCUGACUUCAAGGACUUCAACCCCGCCGCCGAGGGGAAGUGGACUGGCUCUUCGAUGGGUACUGCAAAGGGCAUGCCCUGAAGGACCUGGUGGGCAGGAGCGAUGUGGGGCCGAGCUGGCGGAGCUUCCCCUGGAGGAGGAGGAGACUCUUGGCAGGGCUUCCGGGAAGGAGCCGGUGGCUUAGGGUAGCGGUCACUCCAGAAACCCUUUCCAUCUUCUUAUAAGGAUGUGACCGCGCUUCGGUAAUGAAUGGGUUUCAAUGCCCCGCAGUUCAUAAUUUCCAUAUCUUUUUGAAUAGCUUUCACCAUACGCCUCUCAUCAUGCUUGAGGUGUACCCUGCCAUACGCCUCUCAACAUGCUUAAAGUGUACCCUACCAUACGCCUCUCAACAUGCUUAAGGUGUUUCCUCAACUCCCGCCUCAAGUAGGUCGCCAGCAAGAAGAAGGCAUGGUUAGGUCUUCCUUUCCUUGUAUAGCUCGGUAGGCUUUGUAAUAGAUAGGGCCUGAAUGCAUAUGUGAAAUGAAGUUUGAAUGAAACUAUCCGAUUUGACCUUCAAUUCCCUGUUAGCGGCGAACUCUAGUAACCGAAAAGGAACACCGACCUCCCGGGUCGAGUACCAAAUAGAUCCACCAAGGUAGCGUGCCGACCUCUCGGGUCGAGCAUCUAUCGUCCUUUAAGCUAACGACUAAGUUGUCAGGGACACCAAACCAUCAAACUAUCAGGCCGAUUUAACAAUCGAAUUCUAAUAACCGGAGUGACGCGCCGACCUCCUGGGCCGAACACCAAACCUCUAGGCUUUAAGUUUCGCCGACCUCCUGGGUCGAACGCCAAACCUAAUUUACUGGAGCAGUGUGCCGGCCUCUUGGGUCGAACAUCCGCCAAACUAUAAGCCAGCAACCAAGAUGACAAACUGAGGUCCCAUCGGAUGAUCAAACUAAAUCAACAACCAAAUUCCAACAACCUGGGCGGCGUGCCGACCUCCUGGGUCGAGCACCGGGCCCUAAGGCUCUUUUAAGUUGCGUCGACCUCUCGGGUCGAGCGGCAAAAUCCUAAGACAGUCCUGCCGACCUCCUGGGUCGAGCAUCGAACUCUCAGACUUUUAAAGUUUUAAGCCCCGCCGACCUCCUGGGUCGAGCAUCAAUUCUCAAACUUCAAAGGCAUUCCAUUGAUUCAUUGUCUGAAUUCGUCCCUUAGCUGCCGACCUCCUGGGUCGAGCAGCAAAAAUUUAAAGAUAAUCAAACACCUCCUGGGUUGAGCGCCGAUCUCCCAGAAUUGAAUGGCAUUCUAUCCGUUACCAUUCAUGCCGACCUCCUGGAUCGAGCGUCAAAAUUUUAAAUAUAAUCAUGCCGACCUCCUGGGUCGAGCGUCGAUAUUUUAGAGAUAAUCAUGCCGACCUCCUGGGUCGAGCGUCGAUCUCUCGGACUUGAAAGGCAUUCUGUCCGUUACCUCAAAAUUUUAAAGAUAAUCAUGCCGACCUCCUGGGUCGAGCGUCGAUAUUUUAGAGAUAAUCAUGCCGACCUCCUGGGUCGAGCGUCGAUCUCUCGGACUUGAAAGGCAUUCUAUCUGUUACCAUUCAUUACCCCUCAGGGCCCCCCACUAGGACACUUAGCAUUAUCUGAGUGUGCUAGUGUAGAAGUGAAAAGUUAAACGGCAUUGAUAAUGAGAAUGGACUUAAAACUUGAAAGCCGAACAUUUAUUUAAUGAUGAACUCGUAUGAGGAUUCCAAAGAAUACAUUAAGAUACCCUGGACCUAUCUAUCAUACGAACAAUCGCAAAUUCGAGAAGUGCCUCUACGCCGUCUAAUUUCGCAAGCUUACAGUACCCAGCCUGGCUUGUCUCUAGGACCUUGUACGGCCCCUCCCAGUUCGGAUCAAGCUUGUUGGAGCUAUGAGCUCGGCUGAUUAAGUUCUUUCUUAGGACGAGGUCUCCUGGCUGGUACUGCGUAUUCCUCACCCUCGCGUUAUGAUAGCGGGCGAGUUGGCUUUUAUACUUAGCCAUACGUAUCGCCGCUUCCUCACGCUUGGCCUCCAGCAUAUCCAAGUUAUAUCUCAGUUCUUCUUCGUUGGCUGACGCAACGAAGUUCUGUGUCCGAGGAGAGGGGAGGCCGAUUUUCGCCGGUACCACCGCCUCCGCCCCGUAAGUCAGGGAGAACGGAGUCUCAUGAGUGGCUGUCCUCGCGUAGUGCGGUAAGCCCAGAGGACGCUAGGGAGUUCAUCUAGCCAGCUAGACUGGGCCAGUUCCAGCCUAGUCUUCAAUCCUUACAGAAUGGUUCGAUUAGCAUUCUCUACCUGGCCGUUGGCGUGGGAUGACCGACCGAGGUGAAGUGUUGGUUGAUCCCGAGCUCCGCGCACCAGCUCCGGAAGGGGUUUUCUGCGAAUUGUCGCCCAUUGUCGGAUAUCAAGACAUGCGGGAUCCCGAAGUGGCAGACUAUGUUCUUCCAGAAGAAUUUCUGAAUUGCCCUUCCAGAGAUAGUGGUCAAAGGUUCGGCCUCCAUCUAUUUUGUGAAAUAGUCGAUGGCCACCACGAGGUGUUCGUACCUCCCGAGAGUUCGGGGAAAGGGACCAAGGAGGUCUAUUCCCCACUGGGCAAAGGGCCAAGGACUAUGGAUGGGGACCAUCUCCCGAGCGGGCUGGUGACGCAGCAGGGCGUGCACCUGACAAGCUCGGCAUUUCUGAACAAGAGCCGCGGCAUCCCGAAACACCGAGGGCCAGUAGUAGAUUAGGAGCAGGCAUUUUUUGGCCAACACUCGGGACCCCACACGUGCCGCGCACAGGCCUUUGUGAACUUCUCGGAGGACAUAGUCGCCCUCCUCAGGAGUUAUGCACUUUAGUCAAGGAGACAGAUACGACCUCCUGUAGAGGGUCCCCCCGGCGUAGGCGUAUUUAGCAACUCUGAGCUGGAGUCGGCGAGCCUCGGUUUUGUUCACUGGGAGGGCACCCGAGCUGAGGAAGUCCACGAGGGGAGUCAUCCAAGUGGUCGGGCUGUCUAUAGCCAAGACCUGGACCUGGCCAAUAUUUUUUUGCUUAACUACCUCCACCAAGACUUCCUUGCUCAGGUGGAAAAACGAGGAGGACGCCAGUUUCGACAGGGCGUCCGCCCGCUUGUUUUGUGAUCUCGGCAUCCGCUGAAUCUCAAAAAUGUCGAAUAGUUUUAUCGUCUCCCGCACCUUAGUCAGAUAUUGUUUCAUGACAUCUUCCUUGGCCUCGUACUCCCCGCGGACCUGGCAGACUACGAGCGGAGAGUCACUCCGGACCCUGAUCGCGGCUAUACCCAUUUGGUGGGCUAUCCGCAACCCUGUCAAUAGGGACUCGUACUCAGCCUCAUUGUUGGAUGCCGGGAAGUCAAAUCUGAGUGCGUAGGUCAGCUCUUCCCCAAUAGGCGAGAUGAGCAGCAGGCCGGCUCCGCUCCCCUCCUUACUCGAGGCUCCGUCCAUAAAUAGUACCCACGGUUCUUCCGGCCGUGCCUCCUCAGGCAAAGAGCUCGGCUCAGUCACUGAAAAAUUGGCUCCCUCGGUGAGGAAGUCUGCCAAGGCCUGAGCUUUGAUAGCGGUACGGGGCUGAUAGCCGAUGUCGUGCUCGGCCAGUUCGACGGCCCAUUUGGUCAUUCUGCCCGAGACCUCAGGUUUUGUGAGUAUCUGUCGUAAGGGUUGAUCCGUCAGGACAGUAAUGCUGUGAGCCUAGAAGUAAGGUCGGAGCUUCCGAGCGGCGUGCACCAAGGCGAGGACCAAUUUUUUCGUCGGCGUGUACCGCGUCUCCGGCCCUUGUAAAGCACAGCUAACGUAGUAUAUUGGCCUUUGAGCCCCCCUGUCCUCCUGCACCAAAACCGCGCUAACGGCCUCAUUGCGAGCAGACAAAUAUAGGAACAGGGUUUCUCCCUGCUCCGGGGCAGUCAGAGCAGGUAGCUCAGCCAGGUAUGCCUUUAGAUCGGUGAAGGCUUUCUAGCAUUCCUCCGUCCAUUGAAAAUCCUUAGGUGUUUUUAGGAUUCGAAAGAAGGGCAGCCCUCUUACCGCGGAGCGCGAGAGGAAUCUAUUCAGCGCAGCCAUUCUUCCCGUGAGCCGCUGGACUUCCUUGACGUUCCUCGGAGGGGCCAUGUCCAUGAUGGCCUGGAGUUUAUCCGGGUUGGCCCGGAUCCCAUCUCGGGAGACCAGGAAGCCCAGGAACUUUCCCGACCUGACCCCGAAGGUACACUUCUUUGGGUUCAGCCGCAUCCGGCUUUCCCACAGGAUGUUCAGGAUUUCCCUCAGGUCGGGAACGAACUGCCGGUCAGUUCGACUCUUGACGAUCAUAUCGUCCACAUAGACCUCCAUACUCCUGUCGAUCUGACUCUGGAAUAGUUUGUUGACCAGGCGCUGGUAGGUAGCGACAGCGUUUUGCAAUCCAAACGACAUUUUCCGGUAGCAGUACGUCCCUUCCUCGGUGAUGAAGGAAGUCUUUUCCCGAUCUUUUUCGGCCAUCUCUAUCUGGUGGUAUCCCUUGAAGGCAUCCAGGAAACACAAAACGUCAAAACCCACAGUAGAGUCUACUAACCUGUCGAUUCUUGGCAAGGGGAAGUAGUCCUUUGGGCAGGUCUUGUUAAGAUCUGUGAAGUCCACGCACAUCCUCCAGGACUGGUCCUUCUUCUUCACCAGUACGGGAUUGGCUAACCAGGUCGGUUAGUAUACCUGCAGGAUGAUUUUGGAUUCCAGCAACUUGCCGACCUCCUUCUUGAUCACAUCAUUCCUUUCGGGGGCGAAACUGCUCUUCUUCUGCUUCACCGGCUUAAAGCGGGGAUCUACGUUGAAGUGGUGGACGGCCAGAUCAGUUGGGAUCUUAGGCAUAUCCUCAACCAUCCAUGCGAAUACUUGGGAGUAUUCUAUCAACAGGGCCUUCAAACCCUCCUUCUCCUCGGAAGGUAACGAUGCACCGAUACGGAGGAUCUGGUCAGGCCUGUCCUCCCUCAAGGGGAACUCCUCGAUCUCGUCCUGGGUGCCCAACUGUCGGGCCUCCUCGCCCGGGAUGUAGGGCUCCAGGCUGGUCGUCUGGGCGAUCACCUUCUCAUGUCCCCGGAGCACGGUCAGGUAGCAAGCUCUGGCCACCUCUGGAUCUCCAUGCACCUCAGCUAUUCCUCCCGGGGAGGGGAAUUUGACGCUGAGGUGGAGAGACAAGGGAAUGGCUCGGAGGGCAUUCAAGGCGGGCCGUCCCAAGAACACGUUGUAUGGGGAUUGUUGUUUGACCACCACAAAGUUGAUGGGGAUGGUCCGGCAUUUGGGCGCCUGCCCUACCGUGACCAUCAGGGUGAUCAUCCCCUCCGGAUUGAUGGGCGGUCCGGUGAAACCCACUAGGGGUGUCCGAACCGGGGUUAGCUGUCCGUCCUCCAGACCGAACUCCUUGAACACCCGGUAGAACAGGAUGUCCACCGCACUCCCCUGGUCGACGUACACUUUCUUCACCCGGUAGUUAUUGGUCACGACGUCUAUCGCGAUGGCCUCGUGGUUUCCAGACGCCAGGGUAACCGCAUCCCUUGGUCCGAAGGUGAUCUCCUCAUCCAUGCACAAGCGUUUCAGGGAGUCAUCCCCCUCGGGGGGAGGCCGCCUGUUCUUCCGAGCUGCAUGGCUGUCCCCCUCCGUGGGCCCCCAACAAUGGUGUUUAUCACCCCUGCUAAGUUCUGAUUGUCCUGGUCGGGGGAGUUGCCCCGAGGAACGUCACGCCGCUCAGGGCGACCGUGACGCGGGCCCUCGCCCCUGUCUCCGCGGUAGGUGCGUCCUGGCUCCUGACCAGGUCGACCUUGCCGCACCAAUCGCCCCAGGAAACCGCGCUGGAUUAGGUCUUCGAUCUCCUUUCGCAGGGCCCAGCACCCCUCCGUAUCAUGCCCAACAUCACGGAGGAAGGCACAGUAUCGGUCCUGAUUUCUCUUGUUCCGGGGUGUCCCCAUCUUAGGUGGCCGUUGCCCUAGGCCCUCCGCCUCCAUAACGGCCAGAAUCUGGGUUCUGGGCCGAGUUAGGGGGGUGUAGCCUUUUUCCGGAAGCGGCGGUUGAGCGAAGAUUUUCUCCUUUGUGAGCCGAUCGAAAACAAUCUUCUUGGCCGGGCCGUCCUUGUUCUCGGGGGGGUUUCCCCGUCCUCUCCGAUCUCCGAUCUCCCGAUCUGACUCCCUCUUCAGGCAAGUCACCUCCUCCGCAUUAGCGGCGGCGUGUGCCCUGGUCAAGAGCUCCUCUAGGCCUCCAGGAGGCUUCUCGACGAGCUUGUAGUAGAGCUCCUUCGCCUUGAGCCCGUUCAUAAAGGCGGACAUGACUACAUUUUCGUCCUUGUCCCUGAUCUGCAAGCUCUCCGUGUUGAAGCGGGUCAUGAAAUUCAUCAGGGACUCGUCCGGCCUCUGCUUGAUUGCCAUCAAGUGGGCCGCGUUUUUCGAGUAAGUCUUUGAGGAGACGAACUGGGCGGCGAACUGUCUGGCCAGCUCGGGGAAACUCCGAAUGGACCCCGGUGCCAGACCCUGAAACCAGUGCCGGGCCUUCCCCUUCAGAAACAUGGGGAAGGUUUUGCAGCGGACUGCAUCCGCAGCUGUUUGCAGACGCAUGUGCGUCAGGAAGACCGAGAGGUGGUCUUCCGGGUCGGUCGAGGCGUCGUACAGCUCGAUGUUCGGGAUCUUGAAUCUCCGGGGUAGUGGGUAGUCCUCUAUCUCCCGGGUAAAAGGCGAGUUAGUGUAGUUGUCCUCGUACAACUGCGGCCGCAGGAUCUGCUCAAACUCGUCCCGGACAGGCUUCCACUGGGGGGGGUCCCGCGGCCGGCUCUUGAUAGAUCGGGCGGGGGAGCGCUCAGGCUCCUUUCGAGCAAGCUUCCACGAGAAGGGAUUCCUUGGCCGGCCCCCAACGGACCGGUCGCAACAGUACCUCUCGUUAUCCCCGACCACCGAGGCUCGCGGUCGUGGGGGAGUCCGUGGCCGUUUCCUCCUGGGGGGCUGGUCCCGUGACUCAUCCUCCGAGGGAACGGGAGAUGAUUCCCGCUCCUUCCCCUUCGCAUUGGAGGUUUGUGCGCCCCCGGCUUCACCCCCCUCCUUUGCCUGUCGAAUUAUAUCCUCUAGCAUGAGGAGGUUCUCCGUUACGAAUUGAAAAAUCUGCUGUCUCCGUUCCCCUGAAAGGGCUGAGCCCCCGGCGUCCCGAGCCGCCUCGGUCUCCAUUCGCCGGGACCCCUCGCCUGCCCCGGGAUCGGUGUUCUCUACGGUUCGCUUGGAACGUGUUCUCGCCAUCAACACAACUACUCGUACCUUUCUUCGUUCCCACAGACGGCGCCAACUGAAGAAGCGCUGAGCUUCCCAGGACCAAGCUGACCUGAUGAGCUCGGCGUGCUGAUGAGGAGAGCGCGUCCCAAGCCUGCAAAGCAGACAAGAGGGUGAUCUGACAUGGGAGCCCCGAGGUCGUCCCCGAGGGCACUCCGACGGUCAAGUUAGUUCUCCGGUGAGUGAGAUUCACGGGAAGUAACACAGUCGGGAGUAACUGGCGUAUAGUGAGCGUACCUUGUGCAGUUGAUGUGUGUUACCAUUUAUACCUGCUUGGGAGUCCGACCUCCAUACGUUUCGGGACCUGCCCAGAAUAGUCUCAAUCCCGCUCUGAGGGGGAUCCUCCCCGCCCUCUACGGGAUCGUUCCCUGGAGCUCCUCGGAGCCCUAGCAGCGGAGGACCACGGGACGGUUCCCAUGGGCCCGGGGUCUAAACCCAACUCAGGCCUCCCUGGGCUGCCACGUGUAUAGGCCCAGGACGGGGCCUCUGCACUCUCCAACUUGAGGUUCUUAUGGGUUUGGGACAGUUGUCUCUUGCGAGUCUCGACUUCUUAGGAGGAAGCAUCCAACUGAUUGGAAAGGCGUUUUUGGCCUCCAAUGUAUUGGCCAAAACUGGGAUCAUGUCCUCAAACCUCUUAGUCACCUGACAACAAGAAUAGUACAUAAGAAGACAAAGGAAAAGAAGAAGGAAGAACAAACGAUAAAAGGAUAGUCCCCAACUUAAACUGUCACAACGCAGUAAUGCUGCAAGAGGCUGGAGUGAGGAGUCGCCUUGAUAAAGUUAUAACUUCUGGGCAAGAUGGCGCCCUGAAGUAAUUUUCGAGUAACCUUGAGAUAUUGAUCUCGAUCAUUGAUGGAUAAAUUUCAAGAAGAGCAGAAGUGCAUUAGAUGGCAGUGAGUGACGGAAGUGGACCUCUGAUCAAACGGCACUGUACUCAAGCAUUGCCACAUAUUGGGUAGAGGAUUAGUUCUAACUUGCUCCUAUGCCGUGUUCACCCCAUAGUGCUCUGCCUCUUUGGCAGAGUGAGGUGUUUCUUCUCAAACAUGGGAGGAAGAAGUCUUUUUCUCUAUCUGGGCCUUCUUGGCCAUAGACUUUUUCCGCUUCUUUUUUCCUACAUCCCUGAUCUGAGCAGGUUGUGUUGGAAUUGACACUUGGAUAGGGGGCUGAAGUAGCGAAAGUAGCAGUGGCGUGAGUUGUAGAUGUUGGAACCAAACUGGUAGUUUCGGAUAGAGAUAGCGGCUGAAAGAAUUUCUUCAUUGCGAAAGAAACAAGUAUGAGUUAAAAAAAAGAAGAAGAACAAAAUUAUGUAGAACAAGAUGAAAACAAGCAGUAUGGGUAUCCAUCUCUUUUGGAGAAAGAUCUUUGGUCUUAUUAGAAGAAUUUGAAAAGUCUGAAUGGAUGAACCUAACAGCAUUAAGUUAAACAGAAGAGAACUCCUUCACAUUCAACUUAAUGUCCGAAACAAAUAACAGGUUCAGUUCAACCUCAGGAAAAGGUAAAAGAAAGGCAUUAGAGACUUAUGUUCUCUCCCUUCACACUAAUGGUGAAAAACCUAGAUUUUUUACAAAAAAAAAAAAAAAAAAAACUGGGCUUUUCAGUUUUUAAUGGAGGAAGAAACUGCAACAAAUAGUUCGCGAGUCUGAUGCUUGCUCUCACUUCGAUGAGCGAAGUAGAACCAAUUCGGAAAAUGACCUGACACUUUCAUAUAGAAGUAAGAGCGGAACAUGUUCAAAGAAUAAGAAAUUUUCAAAAUCUAGCAAAAGAUGAAAAAAUCAAAAAAUGACUGAAUUGCAUUGGGGAUGAACUGAGUAAUUCAAAUACCUCAAAAAAUCAGAAUUUCAAAAAGGAAUGAGGAAAUAGAAAUGCGUAGACUAGCUAUGAACUAAUCCCUAUAAAUAGCUGCAUAUUGGGAGGAAAGUUGGCAGGCAACCUUUGAUCGACGAGAUCCUUGGGCCUCAAAUUGAGAAGGAAUUGAAUAAGUCCUCACCAAUUGAUGGACAUCCUCCUAAUCUAGAAUAGGAGGAAUAGAAUUGAUUUCAUCAAAAUCGAUCCAUUGUAAGAAAGAGGGGACGGAGGAAGUUCCCUCUACAGUGGUCUUUCUGUCGUAGUUUCGGGCAUAACUACCUGGACAGGAGCCUCAGAAGCAGCUUGAAAAAUGUAUUCGGGGAAACUCAUGACUUGAAUAGAACAAUGAAUAGCAGUUGGGAUAUACUCAUAAUUAGGGUUGCAAACGAGCCGAGUCGAGUCGAGAUUUGAGCUAAUCGAGCCGAGCCUCGACUGAAUUUUACCAAGCUCGAGCUCGAGCUCGACGAGCCGGCAAUUUUCAAGUUCGAGCUCGAGCUCGAAAAAAAUAAAAAAUAAUUAUUUUAUUUUUAAAAAAAUAAAUAAAAUAAUAUUUUUUUCUUAAUAAAUAAUAAAAUAUUAAGGAUAUAUACGUAAUUUUACUAUAAAAAUAAAAAAUAAAAAAAUAAAUAUAUAAUAUACGUAAUUUUAUUAUUAAAUAAAAAUAAAAAAUAUAUAUAUAUAUAUACUCAAGCUCGCGAGCCGGCUCGCGAGCUAACGAGCUUAAUAUUCUGAGCUCGAGUUCGAGUUCGAGUUUGACUCGAGCUCGAUAUUAAUCAAGCUCGACUCGAGUUUGACGCGAGCGGCUCGAUUCGUUUGCAGCCCUACUCAUAAUCACAAGAACUAGAAGAUGAGGUAGAAGAUAAGGUGGAAAGAACUUCUACAUGCACGGAUGGCCAAACUGCCCUAUGUCUAGGAGUCGAGGUGGUAAUAUCGGACUGUUCUGAAGAAGAUAUAAAAGAUAAAGAGAGGAGAAGUUACUAGUGACAGUGAAAGGACAAUUUAGGUAGGAGAACUUUUCUGGUAGAAGCCUAACCGUUGAAAAUAAAGUAAGCGAAUAGACUAAAGAGAAGACUUGAUAAAGGGAAGAAGAAUGAAAUGGCAAUAGUGAACUCUAUUUAUAAGGACCACUAGAGUGGGAAGAAGAAAAAAUUUUUGAAUUUAAAUCGAGUGACAGUUAUUAAUGAGAGAGGUGACAGUUGACAAGAUGGAAGUCUGAAAUGUCAAAAGUAAUGAUGACGGUGAUAUGCACCAUUGGCUGAAUUGACACGUCCCUGAAAUUAAGAUUAGAUUCAGUUAGUCGUACAAUAAAUCUGGUCUCGAAGGGGGCUAAUGUAGAGGAAAAAAUCCUUUGUGGAUACGUGUCAGGGUCGGAGCUCCUUAUUCGAGUUUUUCUCUCUCGAAUUGAAUUGGAGUAGCAAGCAUCUUAGUUCUGAGGAGUUUAUUUUUCGGGAUAAGAUUAGAACUUGAAUUCAAAGGGGACUUUACUCCUAGUAAUCUAGUAGGAUUCAUACUCUUGAAUGAGAUAACUACUAUAUGUAAGAGAUCAAGUUAGAUACUCUCGUAACUUAUCAGGAAAAAUCAUAUAAAUAGUGACGGGUUGAACCAAGAAAAUGUAUAAUAUACAACACAAUACGCUUAUUUUAUUCUAUACCUUAAUCUUUUGAUUGACUUGAGCAUCGGAGCCAUGACGGGGGGUUAGUCCCAUAGUUCGAUUCUUUGCAAAUCAGCUUGAUUUCGUUCACUGGACGUCCUACUUAGAUCGUGCUCCUUGGCAGGUCUUUCAAUAAGCAAAGGGCUGUUCAGCAUCUGCUGUGCUCUGAGGUAAACACAAUAUUCUGAUGAUUAAUAAAAUCCAUCGUGUUUCCAAAUUCCACCUUAAUGGCACCUUUAGGAAAGAAAGUCUCAGUGGCCAAAAAGGACUGAAGUUUCUCCAUCAUUGUCGUCAUGAGCUACGAAAUAUCAGUAGUGAUCAGUAUCUUGUUUUAUUGUCAGCAUCAGAUGCCAAACUCUAUAUAUCUUCAAAGCUCAAUCAAGCUGGGCACUGAAGAUAUAAUAGUAAGUAGGAAGAUAAAAAUGGGUAGAGUGCAGGCAACAUCAGACAACUACUUGUGAAAGUUCAUCAAGUAACUCUACAUCUGCAUGUGGUUCUUUUCUUCAUCAACUCACCCCAUUUUGACCUUUCCAUUUUGAAUAAACCUUUCCGCCAGAACAGAACUGUAAAGUUGUUGAGUAGGUAAUUAACAACCAUGGAGCUUGUGUCGGCUUUGUUUCUUUUUAAUUUUUGAUAGGAGUAAUAUUAUAUACAAGAGGGUAACCUGACACGUCACAUCUCAUUCUCGAGAGAAAAUUGAAAUAAUUGGAUAAAGUGUUAUUUGAAUAUUAUUUGGAAUAAUUACUGUAGCACUUUUUGUGAUGUGAUGUAUGUAAGAUAAAAAGGUGGUUGGAAAUAUAAAAAGAUAAGUUGAAAAAUGUGUUUAUGAUGUAAGCGAAAUAUUAUUUCAAAUAAAAUGGUAUCCAAACGAACCGACUAGAUCAAGAAAAGAAACUGGGCACCCGCUCACUGGGCUUUAAUUUUCUUUUUUCUUUUUGGUUUAGUACUCCCCACAAGAGUGAAAUUACACAGGAGCCCUCAAGGCUUUCUUUGUUUUUUUUUCCCCCUAGAAAAUUCCUCCUACAAAGCAAUGCCCCCGCUGGCUAGUUAGUUUUCUCUUCUUCCCUCCGCUGCCUCCGCCGACUGGACCCAUCCCAACAGCCCAAGCGGAGAGAGAAGAAAAAAGAAACUCUCCAGUCCUGUCCUGAGUCCGGAAAAUUAAAAAGAAGAAAUACUAGUAGCCAGUAGCCGUAGCCGCAGUAGUUAGGUGUAGCAAAAUGGAUCAGGCGGAUCAGGUGGCGAAGGCAUUCGUGGACCACUACUAUUCAACCUUCGACACCAAUCGGAGCGGGUUGGGUAACCUGUAUCAAGACCAGUCCAUGUUGACAUUCGAAGGCGAGAAGUUUCAGGGCUCCUCCAACAUCCUUGCCAAAUUGACUGGUUUGCCCUUCCAGCAGUGCCAGCACGGCAUCACCACCGUCGAUUGCCAGCCCUCUGGUCCUGCCGGUGGCAUGCUUGUCUUUGUCUCCGGUCUUCUCGUGGUCGACGGCGGGGAGCACCCCCUCAAGUUCAGCCAGGUAUCCCCCGCCUUUCUUUUUAAACCCCCCCCCCCCUCUUCUCCAACCUCCAAUAAAUAAAUUUCCUGUUAUUCCUUUUUGAUUGGAAUUAAACACUGAGAUAUCAUAACGUUCGGUGUUGAUGAUUAUUUUUAGCAUGUUAAUUUAACUGAGGAUUAAAUAUCUGGCAACAGUAACUUUAUACUGCAGUUCAUUUCAUACACGAUAUCACGUGUCUUAAUCGUUUUAGCAUGUAGUAUAAUGAGAAAUGAGCACUUUUUAACUGUGGUGGGUGACUUUCCUUUUGCACCCUGUAAACCUUCCGUCAAUGUUCACUUGGAAACCAAUUUUUAGUUUGGGAAAUCUUGCAUCUCUUUUAAUUUGUCCAGGUGCAGUCGUUGAGGAUUUUCACAAUACUAAAGGAAUGAUACCAACGUUCUCUUUAAUAACUUGGCCUGAUGGCCCACUUGCGAUCCAUUUGGACCAAAGUGAGAGGUGUCAAAAAAAGAGUUCAGGAUGCUAAGCAUUUGAAAUUUGAGUUUGGAGUCCAUGAGGGUGUUGAAGUGGAAUUUGCCCUUUUUAACUGUUGAGCCGUCGAUAUCUGUUUUAUUUUGGGCUCUAAUUGAAAGAUUGUGAGAAGAUGGAAUUGUUGUCAUUCUAGUCUGGCGAUUGACCACGUUCAAAUAGUUAUUCUGCUAAUGAAGGUUGAUGUUGGCAACUUCAUUAAUUGUUUGCUCCAUAUUUUGGUGUCAAUGAACUACUUUCCAUUCAUAGCUGCAGAUGCAACAUGCUUGACUAGCAUUUCUGCAUUGCGCUGAACUCUUUAACUGCAAUAUUGGUAUCCAUAUUGAUACAGACUACCUAUUUUGUAUUGCUUCUCUGUUGCGUAAAGUGUAACUUCUUUAAUGUGUAAUACAUUCUACACAAACCAUCUGCUGUGAAUAAGGUCCCAGAUGAUUUGUUCACUUCUUCUGGCUUUUGCUCGAGAAAUAUUCCCGUCUAAUAUUGGUAUCUUUAAUGACACAGACUGCCUAUUUUGCGUUGCUUCCCUUUACGCAGAGGGCAAUUUCAUAAAUAUGUGUACUACCUUCUCCACCGACCAUUUACUUUGCAUAUGGAUCCAGAUUGUUUCACCACUUUUGUCUUUUGCUUGAGAGAAUAGUUCCUGUUUAAGGUUGUACAUAUGUAGUUUACUACAAGUCUAGAACAGCUACUUAAUCACAUAGUAUUGCAAGGUCUUAACAAUGUGCUACCCUCUGUGCGAUGCCUAGUUGGUUUGGAAGAUUGUUGGCUUUUGCUGGGUUUCAGCUUUAUUUCUGUUGCUUAAAAUCAUCUAUUCCUUUUGGUGAUACUGUUAAACUCUAAGUGCGACAUAGUUCUUCUGGUCAAUACUGUUCAAACAACUUCUCCAUUCUGCUUUUGUGCUUUAGCUUGAUGACUCUUUAAGGAAAUUGAUUUAGGAUAAUUUGUUGUUUUCACUUGUAAGCAUUUGAAGUGCUCUCAAGUUGAUAUCCACAUAAGCAUAUGAUUGCUGUGCUUUCUAGUUACACGGAAAGUAGUAACAUCAGUUCUGUGUGUUUAUUCUGAAUGUGGUUGUCUUUUGUGUGCCCGUUCAUUCUUCCAUUGCUUCUGCAUAUUUGUUGGUCGCUAAUACUUGCCAUCUGAUUUUGCGGCAGAUGUUCCAUUUGAUGCCCACUCCUCAGGGUAGCUUUUAUGUGCUGAAUGACAUUUUCCGGUUGAAUUACGCGUGAUGCGGUACAUGUCCGUUUGUUAAAUCACUGGGGUCGAAUGCUGCCCCAAGUGCCAUAAACCAAAUUAGUUUCAGCUUUGAAUUCUAGCUUUCCAGUGUCCAAACUUGGCAUUUUCGGGAUGUUCAGUAAUUGUUUGUCUUCGUCUAUGGUGACUGGCGGAUGGUUGAGUUGUCAUUAGACCUAUUUUAAUGCUGCGUUAAUUUUGCCAAGAAUUUUCAAAUGAAUUGGAUAGUGAUAUUUGAACUAAUUGGUUGAGAAUUGUAUCUCUCUCAUCAAAUCUGCGUCCUGAUUCCAACUUGAUUGAAGGAAAAACAUUAAGGUGUGGUGAUGUAAUCUGAGAUCUUUUUAGUACCGUGGUUGACUGGAACAAUUGAUACUCGGACAGAGUAAUUUGCCUGCUUGCUUGCGUGGACAUUUCGCAAGCAAAACAUUUGUGUUUUGCUAUUCUUCAUUGUCUACAUCAAAUACUGGGAGUUCCACACGGGGAAGCUCUGGAAUCUUUAGAUCCGGCAGAGAUGAGGCCGCAAGAAUUGGCUUUGGCAUCACAGAGGAGGCUAGUUUAUCUACUUCCUGACCCGUAAUUCUUCUGUUACCUUUCAGCAGCCCGGUGAUCAUACCCCCCAAGGAUUUAAAUGGGUGGCUUAAUCCUUCUUUGACCUUCAGAAUGAGCGAGACUUGGGAAAGCUGCCAGGCAACAGUGAGAACAAUCAUGGCUGACAGAAGACAAUGAGUGAUAAAGUUCUGCCUCUUAACUUCGUUAAGCUCCUUAAUGAUAUCUUCUUUCCCAAUUUCGGAGCUCGAGUCCCCCUUCCUUGCUUCAUUUGCAGUCUCACUCUUCUCGCCAGCUUCAGCUUCAGCUUCAGGGUUGGGUACCUUACUAUUGUCAGCUGAUGCUUUGGGUUCCUCGAGCAUGCCAUCUUCUUGCAAGGCAUCUAACUGUUAAAAUUACAGGCGCCAAAGCUGAUUAAUCCUUUGACAAGUAACGCGUUGAGAAUUCAGUUAAUGUGUUACUAAGACUUCUGGGCAUAGGAGCAAAAGAUGGAUUAGAUUUCCAAUUAAGCAAGUUAAUAAGUCCAGAAAGAAAGAAAUAGCAAUAGCGUACGUCUGUGGACUAUCAAAAAUAUUUCUCAAUUAACAAAUUGAAAAGGUAAAAUCCAAUAAAGCUAAGUCGAAUAUUUCUUACUUUAGAGGUCGCUUUACGGCUUUACCUGUGAAAGUAAUUUGGAGAGAAGAAGGCGGCGGUCGUCGUCGUCGUCGGGGGAACCAUCUUUGUCGCCAGAGACUGCAACAAAGCUCUCAUCCAAUGAGGGCCCGUCUGCAUUUCUUACCUUCGCUUCUUCAAUCAGUUGCUUUAUGGCUGUCUGUAAUAGCUUCACCUUAUCCCUUGAUUCCAUUUCGUUCGAUCACCCUCUUCUGCUGACUUCUUUUUCGUAAAAGAAGAAUCGGCGUUAUGAGGUGGGGAUCUUCCGGAAAACUUGCUCUAAUCGAAUCAGUAGAAGCGAGGUCAACACUUUCGCCAUCAACCGUCCAGCUUAUCCGCAUAGAUAUCCUCUUCUGGGAGAAUUACCCACCUACGUCCCACAAAGCUUCUUCGACAUCCCAAAUAUUGGAGAAUAUUGUGCUUCCUUCCUUUUAUAGGCCUCUUUAUUUAUUUAUUUAUUUUUUCUCCUCUCAAGCUCUCCUUCCAAAGCAAUAUUCUAGUGAAAUUUCGUCCGAUACAUGUUCGCUAAUUAUAGAAGAAAUUUGAAGUUUAAAUCUAAAUUGAACUUAAUUAUUAUGUAUUUAGAUCCACUAAUAUUAUUGUCAGUAUAAAAAAGAUUAAUUCAAAUUUUAAUCGCAUAAAAAAAAUAAGUAGAAUACUUGUCAUGUAGAUGAGGUUUUCUCACAGUGGUGUAUUUUACUAAAAUAGCACGGCAUAAAAUUUGACCUAUUCCAGCAUCGUCCAGAGAGCAAUGAACAACUUUUGAGAUAACCCCGUACUCCUCGUGAAAUUGUUAUAUAUUAUCAAGUCGGUGUUGUUAAUCAAGAGUUCCGGUAACCAUUGCACUCUGGUUAAUUGGAAAAUAUUCUUCCUCUCUUUUCAUCUUCUUGGAAUUCUGCCGUGCGUACAAGAGAUCAAUUUUGCAGCUAGCCUCCUAAAAGUAAUGACGAGAAAUUGUUUGCCCACAUUGUUGUCAAAAAAAAAAAAAACUGUUUAACCGACAUUGAAAAGAGAGAAGGACUUCACCCUAAGUAGCAGUGCCUUCUUCUAGCCAACCAAGAGCCCUGCACUAAAUACAUGCUAAAACAACGCGAGAACAUCUUCACUUUUACAGGAGCAAACAUCGUGUAAUCAUACACAUAGUCAUGUACCAUAAAAAGGUAAGUUUAUCGGAAAUUUCUCUUAAACGUAACCACCCUACCAUUGACAUUUACAUCAAACUGCACAGCGCAUUUACAAAAUGCCAAUCUCAGCAAUAUAACCAAUCAAACUAGCUAACCGUAAAUAAUAACCAAAUUAAGCUACCUGAACUUCAAUUUACAUCUAUCCCCACAUACAGAGUCUAGAAUAAAAGCCAAGUUAUCCAUCGCAUCUACACAAAUUGAUAAAUGUCAUCAUUUCCCAUGCUAGAUACGUCAUAUGAAGUCGAGGAUAUUUCCCUCUCGGCACCAUCAAGCUCAGCCUGCAAAAUUGAAGUGUUUAACAGGCGUAAAUGAACAUCUUUCCCUACCUGCGCUAAUUGAAUAUAAAGGCUAAAAUUCAUAUAGGAAGGUAGCAGAUUCAACAUAUGCUUGGAUAUACAAAUUUUGGAGAAAAUCAUGCACUAUUUUCUUCACUAGGUUUGCCGUCCCUAUAGAUUACAAUAAGAUGUGAUUUGUCAUACCUCAAAAAACUUUCCACGUUUUGCAGUGUGCAAAGUAAAUAGUGUCUACCAACCUAAGUUCCACACCAAGAUUACCUUAGCUUGACGAUAUUUCUCCAGAAUGCGGCGAUACUGCUGGCGCGCUCCUGGAGACUCAACCAUUGACAAUACCCUUGACACAGCUUCAUCAAUAGUUGCAUCAACCUUCUGCUUACGGAAGACCCUUAGAAUGUCUUCAUCCUCACUUUCAUCGAUAGCAUCUGUCUCAAGGCGGAACCCACGCAAACCAACUCCACGUCUACGCCACCUAAGAACUACCUUCUCCAGAAUACCCACGGCCCAGCAUACCUUAUAAUUCUUUCUGACCUGAUAGCCUCGCACAUGAGCCUGCCACGAAAGUUCUCAGAAUUAGACAAAGUAUUUCCAAUCUUUUUCAACAUCAGCUUGAAAAAUUUCUAACAGGUGUGGUGGUCUUGUGCUAGUCUCAUGCAAUUCAUACACCAAGAAGAAAAAACCAAAUAAUGAUUAAGAAAGUCUCCUGGUAUCAAAACUUCUGAUUUAUUUGAGCAAUGAUGUCCAUGUACAUUCAUCAUUCAUAUGACAGAGAAGCACUUGACACUAUCAUAUAUCAUGCUUCAAGCAGCCUCAAAAUUUCAGAUACCAGUCUUCAGAAACUUGAAGAUAAAUAUUAUACAUUUGAUUCUCAACAAAGUUAUCAAAUGUAUUUCAAGAUUAAUAGGAAAUUUAAGGGCAUGUUAAAGGACAGUCAUGAUCUUCCUCAUUGAAUAUUUUAUUAUGUUACUCAGGUGUAGGUAACAAAAUAUUAGAUAUCCCAAAAAACUUUGCCCAUAAGAGAAAGCAUGGCACCUGUAUUUUCACUACUUUCUGACGAAAUGCAAGAAAAUCCUUGCGACCUUUCCAACCACGAUAUUUCUUCUGUAUCGAUAAAGCAGCUGAGUUGUAAUCCCUCGAAUUGCGGAAGGCAAACUUUGAAGCAGCCGAAAGCUCUGGUAUGUCAGAUAAAAGGAUUCCAUACUCGUCUCUAGAUGUGCUUGAAGCAGCAGAAAUAGCAAAUUCUUUCUGCUCCCUCCUCCUGAAAGAAUGUGCACGGAAUGCAGACUGUAUACGUGCAGCAGCCUGUGCAGCAUUCCGCGCAGCAGCUAAGCUAUCCUUCAGAGAAAGCUGGUCCUCGUUUGUAGUGGGACUUGUCUUGGGAAUGUUAAUCAAAGUUCUUUCUGCUUCUACAUCAGCAGAUCCUUUUGAUAGCUCACUCUCUUCCAGGGUAAGGGAAAAGAGAUGACUAGUUAGUGCCACUUCUGAAAGAUAACCAGCAAGACCCUUGUGGCCCCAAGUGGCAGCAACAGAUGCAGCAGUUUUCCCAGUUGGGUCCUUAGAAUUGGGAUCAGUAACCGCUCCAGCAGAUGCACCAGCUGCUAUCAGUGCAGCAACCAUUUUUUCCCUGUAACAAGGAUUUUAGUAAACAGAGUUCCCAUGUAGAAAUAUGCAUGAGGUAUAUCAAAAACAAAUAAAUGCACUGCAGUAAAUCUUCAAGGUAAUGUGCAGCAAACAUGAUUGCAAGAAGGGCUGCUACAACCACAAACAAAUCAAGAGUAAACUUUCAGACGAAAUGGAAUGAAGUACUGGGGAAAAAAACCUGUGCAGCCUAUCAACUUUGCACUCCAUGAGAAACACUGCUGCUGAUUUUAAAAAAAAAAGGAGAAGAAGAAGUUUUCUUAAAGCUAUUGCAGUGAACUCAUGUAUGAUAAUUUGAGUGAGAAACUAACUCAUAAACCAUCCAGUAAAGAAACAUGAGUUAAUCCAGAGCUUUUCUAGGUGUCAUAUUCUCCCCAUUUAUGUUAACUUUGUUCCAAUAGAUAUAUGUCUUGUCAACACAUUCAGUGACUUAAACCUGCCAACCCCCCCCCCCCACAAAAAACCCGGAAAUCAUGCACCAAAACCGAAGUAACUAAAUCUUCAACUUCUAUCUUUCCCUCACAAUGAACCCAACAGAUCCUGUGGUUGGCGAUGAACCCAACAGAUCCUGUGGUCGCAAUGAACCCAACAGAUCCUGUGGCCAACAGAGAACAGGGUGAAGGCCAAAAGUCAAAUAAUUUGGUGUAUUGCCAAUAACACACUAUGGAAUCUUUAAAUGAUAAAGCUGUGGCCUUUCAAAUAAACACUUCCUCCACAUUUAUGAUACAGCACCCCAUACAUUAACAGAAUGUAAUUUGUUUUUAAACUUCAGCCAUCUGAAUAACAACCAGUUUCAUUCCACAGAACAUUUUGUGGCGUAUUUCUCCUCAGCUACAACCAAUGGUAAUUGCUCCAUCAAGGUUGAAAAGUAUUGCCAGCACUAUCGGAAGCAAACAACGAAAAGAUUUAUGGAAUCACAUAAAAGACACCACAGGUGAAUGUGAGCAAUUUGGAUUAUGCAAUGUAAUCAAGCAGAAAAGGCAUCACAAGUGAAUGUGUCCUUCUGUCUUGCCAGUUUGAGCAAUUUGGAUUAUGUAAUCAGGCAGAAUUCAUGCAUUUCUACCAAUCACCUACUCAAACUCCAUAUAAGUCAUGCUAAUUUACACAAUAAAAAGUUCUGAAUGUCAGUAACGAAUAGGUAAAGGGAAGGGGUUACCCACCUUCCAAAACGCGCAGCCCAAUGAAGGGCAGUCCAACCAUUUAUGUCACGAAAGUUAACAUUGACUCCAGACUUGAGAAUUGGGUGCAGGGCCCACUCAAAUCCUAAACCAGAAAUUAUGUGUAUUACCCCUUGUUCUUUCUUUGAUAAGGAACAGCAUGGCAUGUUAUCAUCUUGUGAUUUUGAAGAAAGCCAAUUUUGCAACUUGUCUUUCACAAGUUCUUCUAGGAGCCAGUCUGUUGUGAUAGAUAGUGUAGAAGUGCCGGCCAAAAGAGCUUCUAUGACUUGACCCCAUGAGUCCUCAUCUGCUCUGGAUUUGCCCAAUAAAUCAACUCCUGAUUCAGAAGUAUCUCCUUUUUGCAUUGAAGGAUUGGAUAGAAGCAACUGUACAAAUCUGACAAGUAACAACAUUUCUUCAGGACUUCUACUAGCUUCUCUCUGUGGCUGACUGCAAUGACUACAAACGGUUGGUUUAACACGAUAUUCGAAUUCCCUGACUUCGCUGCAGGACUCUCUAUUACCGGAAGUGACACAAAUUGUGACUUUUCCAGGCGAGUGAGGAGGAGCAUGGCAACAAAUGACCCCUUCCUGAAUGAUCUGAACUGGAACUUCAAUGUCACCAAACAUGCAAGUCCAUGCAGCAUCCAAUGGAUCACAGAGAAACGAUCCAAUUAUGAAAACCUGCAAUACGAUUCUUGAUAUUUGAAUUUACAAUGCCAAGCGGAGAAAUAGAAGCAGAACAUAAUCAACCAGGCCGACCAGAACGCAGGGUACUCAUCAUAAGCAUAAGAUGAGAAAUAAACAUUUACAUCAAAUUCAACAUGUAUAAUUGCAUACUCAAAAGAUCUUGUCGAUCUCCCAGGUUGUAUUCUGAGAUUGAUCCAACCGUAGAAGUUUUAUGAUAGGCCCAGUUAAAAGCAUCAUGUAGAAAAUCUAUUCUGAACACCUCUCUCUAAUUGUAACAAAAUUGACCCAGAUUAGAACUCACCUCAACCAAAUCUCUCACACUCUUGAUUGGCUGAGAAAGUUCUGUUUCUUCCCUCACCUUUGUCAGGCCAGCUUAUUACCUAAUCCCUGUUGUUCGAAGCUUUCCUUCUUCAAGAGCUCUCUCACACAGUUUGUACAUAAGUUUCAUUUCAAAAUUUGAACUAUUGUUCUUCAACUUUUCAAUUUUCAAUAUUUUCCAUCCCUUUUGCACCUCUUGACAUAAGAAACACCCUUUUGCCCUAGUUGAAUGUCAGUAUUGCCUUUCACACAUUAAAUAAUCUAUUUCAGGCAUCAUUUCUUGUGUAUAUAUGUUUAUUUUGGGGGUUACAAUGAUGACAAAAUUCAUGAAAAAUCUACCAUGUAAUAAAACUAUUAUUUGAGGGGAAAAAAGGUCAAUGAGAAAAAUAAUUACUAAGGAAAAUCUAACAGUUUGACCAGAACAGUCAAAUAGGGACUUGGUCAUUGAUGGAAUAGUUAAAAAAACAGCUAUUGACAGAGUAAAAACAAUAAGAACUUGUGCAGCAAAGCUCUCUACAAAUAUUGGCCGAAGUAGGUAAAAACCUUUUGGAUGACAAAAAGUCAUACUAAGCCAUCAUAGAGGAAGACAGUCAUCAUGCAGACUAGGUACAAAAUAUUAGCAACAAGCAAGAUAACAGCACUUAUAAUUGCAGAUUUGCUUGUUAAGAAAACUUUUGUUUCUGCAGAAAUUAUCCAUGUUAUACAACAAAUGGAAGUAGAUCUCGUGCUCAUACCUAACCACUUGUUUUACCUUUAGGAUCCCUUUAUGUACCAUUUCAGUUAACAUUAUUCUAAUCAUGCCAUGCAAGACACCAUAGUGAUGAUUACAGCUUACCAAUCAAUUUAGAACAUGAAGCAAAGUACUUCCAACAAGAACUCUACCAUAUAUGACCAGAAGCAGGACCAUUAAAUUAAGCAACCAAUCACCAAAAGAUUCUACAAAAAUAACGGCUCACUAGGGAGACAAAUGCAAUGAUAUGAAACCAAUGAAUCCCAUGCCUCCUUCUAUUCAACGCUUAGUUAGUUCCAAGUAACCUAAUGGCGGACCUCUUACACGCACAUUGGAAUCAUUGUUCAGUAAUAUUCAUAGGAAGAAUUGAAGAAUGUCCAUGUUUAAAAGUAAAUGCAAAAUUGAGUUCCCUGACGAGUACCUUUGUUGUUUCCGAGGCAUAAACCCAUUCUGGAGAUAUCUCUUGAAUAGUAAAUUUCUGCUUUUGGGCUAUAGUUAAACCCAAAUCCUCUUCAAGGGAGAUUCCAAUCUGAUUGUGGUCAAAUAGUGUUGUAUAAUUGUCCGGGUUGGUCAUGUAGGUCUUUACUGCAGCUGAAUAAGCAGGAUAUGCCAGAUUUUGGACUUCCUUGGCAACUGGUAAAGAAACUGGCAGGACAAUAAGGUAAUUGGAAUUUCAGCAUCCUAAAUUUACAAAAUAGAAGGUUCCAAAUAUAAGCUACUAUUAAAGUUGAGACUACCAUCUUGAGCAUUUGUUCCUCCAUAAUCUAACCAAGUAUAACCAUCUUGCUCAGCCACCAGCUCUUUAGUCCAUUCAUCAAGAAGCACACCCUGUUGUGCAUAUGGUUAAUUACCUUGAAAGAUUGAGACUAGAACAGCUUAACAAAGAUAUUAUAUUUAAGCAAAAAAUGCACAAAGCAGGACGUGGGUCUUAACAUGUGGUGUGGUAGUUAUAUGCACCUUAAACUGACUUCAAACAUAAGGUAAGCAGCGAUUCACAUCAGAAAAUUAGCAUGGCAUAGAAAUGAUCAAAUAUAAGAACAAACAGAUACGAUUGGUACCACACAGGCAGGAGAUGAAUGCUCAUAGUGAUUAUUCAUUCUCACAUUUCUGUCUACAUGUCUCACUUGUGCCAAAACAUGUUCUGAACUAUUGCAGCCAUCUAGCAUCUCUGUCCAGUCCUCAUGUCCCAACGAUUGCUGUUGGUGUUCAAUCUCAUAACCUACAAAGGAAAGACUUAUUAGCAUUUGUGCUUAUCCAUGUCUGGCUUCUAUAGCAACAGAUUCCCUCAUGUAAAAGAAAAAGAUCAAUAGAACAUAAAACCAUUCAUAAAGGGAAUUUAUAAGCUAUAGCAACAUAGCUAGAAGCCCUGAAUGUUCAAAAGAGGUGUUUUUAGCUCGACAAGCUCCAUAUAGAACAGGAAGCAUCAGCACAAUUCUGUUCACAUACAACCAUCAGAUAAGAAGAGAUCACUCUCCAACUUAAACCAUCAUGGACUAAAAGAAUUAUAAAAUACAUCGUUCAGCAACUUUACAGCAAGAAGAUCAAAUGUUUAAUGGGAAAACAUGAAACAAAAGUCAUCUUCCCAUAUCAAAGCAAUUUCAAAGUUAUCAGACUGCAAAAGGAAAAAAGUUACAAGAGUUUCAAAAGCAAAAUUCAACAAUUAAAAACAUCCAAUUACAUUCAUCAUAAUUACUAUAAAUUCUACAUAAGAAUGAACGAAAGUGCUGUAUUGUGAUUGCAUAGUGAAGCAACAAACCAAUAACAAAAGCCUGGAAAAAGGUUCAAGAGAAGAAUGCUUCAAUCACCUUGUCCUGGAACAGAUGGAGUUUGACCCUGUGUGGACUUUUCUGAAUCGUGUGAGUUCUCAUUCUGUGUGUAACAAUUACCAAUUUCUUCCAGCCUGUCAUCAUUUAAACUUAACUGUUCCUCAAGCCUUCUCAAUGCUUGACUGAUGUCAUGGCUCGAUGAACUAGUAACCUCCUCUGUUCUCUCUAUAUCCUGUGAGUAAUUCAUUCCAUUACUCUUGAUGACAACACUAGAGCUAAAUUCAACAGAUCCAGGACUAGAUAAAUUGUGAAUUUGCUCAUAAGAUUCUCCGAGGAGAGGAGAAGAGCCUAGCUGCUGAGUGUUGCCUGAGAUCGGGCUCUGACUGAAGGUAGAGGAGGAUAUUGGAGAAAAUUGUGAUAUGGUUCCUGCAUUGUUCCUUGCCUGCAGCUUAAAAAGUCACACAAGACACAAGGUUGAUUAAAGUUCAGUCAGUUAUCAACUCCAACAGUACUUUUCAACUACCAAGUAAACAGAGUCAUGGAGAAAACACAUCUACUCUUUGCACGUAAACGAUCAUUAAUGACGACUAGGUGCAGUAACAUGUUAGUCCAUAAACACUUAAAAGCUGAGGCAAACUUAACAAGUGUCCACUGAUAAUGCCAAGCUCAAAUCUGAUACAAUCACUAAAAGUAAGCUUCGGGAAGAUUUUCUAAAAGCACAAAUGUCAACAGGAAAUGCCAUGCCUCGUGCAUCAAAUUUGAAGUACCCCUAGCAACAAGGCCCUGAUUGGUUAGGCAAGUCAUCCAGCAAUAGGGUUACCGUCGAAUAUGAAGCACAAGCAUGGAGUGGGAGAGCAUAAUCACCAAAGAAAUAAAAAAUGAGAUGCGUCCUUUUAGCAAAAGGUUGAAAUAACAACAUGAGAUUAUUACAAUAAUCUGAUUGAAGAACUCUCACCUCACUUAUAUCUCUGUAGUGAACGAGAACAAUGUGUUCAUAGGCCCUGCCCAAACAUUAAAAAGAAGACUUGCAAUGACAAUCAGAAAAAAUGAGAAAAUUGAAAAAAAAGAAUCAGCUCUAAUCUGACAGAAGGAGAUCCACUGCAUAACUUCAUAAUCUCAAUUAAUCAUCUAACCUCAGCAGUAUAUCAUUACAUAGGAUACCAUCUAACAUGCCAACAUCUCUUGACUUCUAAGGAGACCAGGAAAAAUUCAUGAUAACAAGAAUUAACUUACGGGUUCAACAUCCAAUAGCUACGCCUCUGAAAAUUAGGGUUCUGCUCCCCGUGUGCGUAAUAGCAAUUUAAAGCUUCCACAUUUCCAACCUAGCCAUUUAAAAAGAUGUAAGCUGAAAGCAUGGAACUUUGCUGUCUUUUAUGAAUAAGAUAUCAGCAUAUUGUAUCCAGAACUUCAUGACAAGGUGGAGACAGUAUCACAGCAGGAUAAGGCAAAAUCUUGGAAUGCUAGUGCCCUUAUCAAAGAAAUGUGUUAUUCAGACAAAUCCAGGAUAACAACUGCUUAUGUAAAGGACUUGCUCCCCAGGAAGACCACUUUAAACCGUUGUUGAUGUUUCAAAAAGUUUUGGGUUGAUAGGAGCAGCAACUUAUGAAAUGUAAUGAAAACUCUCGAGCCAUCAUGCUAAUUAUCCACCCGAAACUAGGUUCUUUCACCAGAACAAAUAUGGUGCAAGCAAAAGAAUAUGUACUGCUAAAAGAAGAAACCUACUGCUAGAUUGAUAUAUUUAAUGAGCCUUCAUUUUUAUUCCCAAUGUAAACGAAUUGGGAGAAGGGAGCAAUCUUUCAUCUUCAACUGCGGUAAGUUAAAUGAGUUUGCUUCAGAACACAAUAUGUACUGCUCCAACAGCCCUAAAUUGGAAGUUCCAUUUAAUUUUUUUUUCUUUAAAACCAUCAUUUUCUUGAACAUUAUCUAUGUUAUCUUAUUUACUUAGUUGCCAACUAGUCUUUUUAUGUAACUUAAAGAACAAGAAAGACAAACCUCACAGAAAAGGGUCAACUCAGACACUUAAAAAGUAUGUAGAAAUGGAUCGAGAUAUUUAUAACAGGAAAAUUGUUAAUAUUCAACCUUAAGCCGUUCAUGUGCUUCACCAACAGUUCUUCCAUCUCUCUUCCUCCGCCAACUAUGCCCAUCCUUACGGAAAAACCUAAGAACCCUCUUGUUGAAAAGGAACAGUGAUCCACCUGUUGAGGCAAUGAUUAUGUUAGACCAAAGAAGCAUCCAUAUAAGGUGUCAGGCCCAAGGAAGGGCAAGGUUUUAAGAAUUGCACUCAAGAGGUAAAACAUAAGAUGAUUACUUCCUGGUUUUUGAGGAGGCUCAUUAGUGAUCAUUUGGUUCUCAUGAUUUUGUAGUAUGAAGAGUACUUCAGCAGGCUUCAACCAGCGAGAUUGAGCUUCUCUAACCAGAUCAUUUAAAUUGUACCCUGAAGUCCAACAAAGUAGCAAACACAUAUAAAAACAGGCCCUGACAAAAGGUGUGUCUGACAUUAAGGCGUGAGCACAAGAAAAGCAAAAAAAUGCAUUCACAGAAGAAAUCUAAACUGUAAAGCGAACUACAAAAGGUGCUGAAUAUGCCACCACUCAUUUCUCAAAUAUACGACAAUUUAACGUGCACAAGUAAGCAAAACACAUGCAAACUUCGAACCCAACCAGAACAUUGAUGGCUUAAUAUUCAUUUUAUCAAAACAAUCUCAGCAUAUCCUCCAAUCUCAAAUGACGAGUUAAUGACGACUGUGCAAUGCAGAUAUUUUGUCUCAGACAAGACUUGUUAGCCAUGAUGACCGUGUAAUUCGGUCCAAGGCAUAGGCAAAGCUUUACAAUUUAACAAUACCAACUUCAGCCAGAAUAUUUCCGUUAUCAAUUUCGUCUGUUCAUUUGAUUUUGUUUAAGAAAAUAUAUUUGACGCCUGAGCUAACUACAUAAUUAAUUCAUAGCAAAAUAGAAUGCUCAAUAUUUUUUAAAAAAUAAAUAAAUUAAGAAAAACUACUUCAAGAAUAAAACCAAAUAAAAUCGAACAAAAAAUGUUAAGGUUGAGAGGAAAAUAGAAACCGGAAAAAUGGAGCUGAAGAUAUAAAGUGUACCGACUACACAAUUGCAACUUAACCUACAUAGAUGAAGAGGAAUCCUGCUGCUGCAUAUACAAACAAGUAAGUAAAUGAUGGAGCAAAAGGCGAAAACUAGAACUACAAAAUUCGGAUUUUUUUUUUUUUUUAAAAAAAGGAGAAGAAGAAGAAGAAGAGUCUAACCUGAUUGUGACAUAUUUGAAGUCACUGCGUCCAGAAGAUAAAGAAUUCUACCAAAAAAAUGAGAAAGCCGUAGGAAUUGCAGAGAAGGCAGUUCAUUAGCAAAUAUUCAGACCUCGUCUUGAAUUUCAGCCAACGACCACCGCCAAAGUCACUGGUCAACUGCUCCCAAGUGACUCGCCAAAGUAGAAUCGCCGCGGAAGAGCGAAAGCACGACCCAAAUUAUGAAGGAUCACCCAGAUUGUUUUUAAUUAAAAACUCCUUUAACCCUCCCUCGGGGGAUCAACGCCUCAACGGGAAGGCCAAAAAAGGCAGAGAGAGAUUUUAUUGGAUUAGCUACGAAGCUUGGGGAAGUUGAGCUACUUGGCCAGUGACCGACAACCGGGCGAGCGAGAGGUUUCAUUCCACUUAUUAGAGACUCCAGUCCAGUGAGUGCUGGAGUGCGAAAGGCGCAGGAUUGACAGAGAAUAAGAGAACAAAAUGAAAAUAUAGGAGUACUACAACUUAAUGCGAAAAAAAAAAAUCAAAAAAAUUAAUUAGAAAAAAUAUAUAUUUGCAUACUACUAGUACGUACUAUUUAUUUAUUUAGGAGCUUGUAUUUUUUUUUUUUGGUCGAAUAUGAUAAACCUACACUUAUUCUAACUUAUUCUGUUUUAUAGGAGAACCUAAAAAAAUCCAAGGAAAAAUCAAAAUGAACUAAAUCACCUGUCAGACUAAACAAGUGCCAUAUGCACCCCUCUAAAAUAGGCUUAAAGUGACCUGGACCUAAAGAAGUCCAAAAAGAAAUCGAGAGAGAACUGAAUCACUUAUCGACUAAAACAAGUGUCCUACGCACCCAUCUGAAAGACACUUAAAGUGACUUACCACAUUUUAGUGACGAAUGGUAAUAGGUAAAAUUUGAACAUUAACCGCCCAUUCUAUCAAGCCUUAAAUGCUUUGGUGGUGGCCAUUGAACUAAUGGCUAGCUGUCGUUUGGUUUAGCCAUCUAAUGACUUUAGAGAGAGAGAGGAAACUGUUGUCAAAACUCAAAAAAGAGAGAAAAUAUAUAGGACGCGGUUUGAAGUCCGCCAAAAGGGUUGUUGAAGUUAGCGUAGGAGUGGUACGGUCAAAAGCAUACCCGUCGAAUUCUUUUUGGUGACUUAUGUUAUGUGAUGUUAUUUUCUACGUCCACACCACGGCCACGAGAUUAGAUUUGAAUAUAAGAUCUUAUUUAUUGAAAAUAAUUAGUAGUAGUAUAAGUACUUAUACUACUAUUUUUAUCUCAUCAGUGAUUUUUUUUUUUUUUUUGUCAACACAGGGAUAUUCGGGUUAAUCCUUACGGGGCCCGACUAAUUCUCUGCAGGACUCGAACCCUGAACAAGUCAGAAAAAUCGCCAUAUCCUAAGGAGGGAGAGCGUGUCCACUCGCGCUAUCCCAUGAGAACAGAAGACUAGCCACUUAAAAGUGGCAAGUUUGUGGGAAGCAGGGGUUGAACCCCUAACCUCCAGCAUCACCAAAGAGGUGAUGACCACCGGACCAAAUAGCCAGUGGCUAUCUCAUCAGUGAAUUGAGAACACAAAACUUUUUUUUUUUUAAGUAGCCACUGGAGGGCAGAUUAUUGCUUUCUGUCCAGAGAAUAACAAGUUUCCCCUUUGGCGUUGGUGUAAUUUACCUAAGACCCAAUAUAUAUAUAAUAUAAUAAAAAGGUAUGUAAUCAAGCACAUGAUUGUCAAGGGCAGCUACUGGUUUUGAGUUCUCCUGCGCUGUAUUGUAGUCCUAGAGAUAAGAAUCAAAGCUCACGUGCUUCAAAUUCAGUCUGUUUUUCAAACUCUUCACUUCAAUCGCAUAACAUGGUGUGAACACGACUAAGCCCAACCAAGAAUGGUCAAAUACCCAAAAAAAUUUUUUUUUUUUAAGAACACGGAGGCUUUUGAACUCCACUUACUCAUCAAUUAUUUUCCGCACGAGGAAAUCGAUGAAUGCUUCUGGCGGAGCGGUAAGGAACAGGACAGCACAGAACUAGUACAGCGCCACUACAAUUCAUUUCCUCCUUCCUUCCCCUUAAAAACAAGGGAUAAUUCCAGAAACCUCCCUGAGAUUUUUGACACUUUCAUUGACCUCCUUUGAGGUUUUAAAAAUUACAGCAACCUCCUUUAUAGAAAUUUGGAUACAUUACUUACAUAAGAUACAGUGAAAGUACUACUUUGCCCUAAGACAUUAUGCAUUAUUAAAAAAAAGAUUGGGACACUAAAUAAAUAAGAUUAACUAAUUAAACCAAAACAAUGAUUAUUUCAUUUCAAAUUAGCAACCAUAAUUACAAUAAAAAAUGGUAUCAAUUGCUUUCCUAGGAUGGCGCUUUUUUUGUGAUUGAUAUCACUUGACAACAGUUAGAAUAGACAAUCUUAUAUAAUCUGCACAGAUAGAUCUUAUGAGCAAAGAGAAAUAGAAGAAUAUUCUGAUUGACUUAUUUUGUUGAAUCUUAUGCUCAGACAAAACUAUUUAUGCCUUUUGCUGUUGAUUUGUUGACUAUGACUUGUAUGUUUUUUACACCAAUACUUUUACUUUUAUCUCGUCCACUAAAAUAAAAGAUUAAUUUUUUAUCCAAAUUUAGAUGCUUAUAUGAACAAUUUAAUAGCAUUAUAGAGUUAGUUGUGUUUUUUUAUAUGUAGCUGCAAAUGAUAAAAAAUUAUGGCCAUUACAAUUUGCACUAGAUAUGUGCAGAGACCAUUGUUGCUUCAAGUUAUAGUUGCUACAUCUUUUCAAAAUUUAUGUAUAUCUCUUGACAUUUAUUAAUUAUUUUAUUAUUUACUAAUACAACUUGAGGACAAAUUAGAAAAGGGCAUAUAUAGAAGAAAAUUAUCAUCUCACUCCUCAAAAUACUUUUUAACAGUACUUUUUCUGAAUUGGAUUGAUUUGUUAUCAAAACUUCAAGUUCAAGGAAGAUUAGUAUAAUUUUUGAAACUUCAGGGGAGGUCCGUGAAAAUGUCAGAAACCUCCCUUUUCUGAAAUUAUCCCUAAAAACAACGGCCGAUGUCUUCUAAUCCAGGCAGCACGGAUCGGAUGCGUCGCGAAAGAGUACCGAGCGUACGUGUUUUGUAAAAAGUCGUUACAGCCCAGACUAUUGGGCCCAUUGAAGCCGGAUACAACCCAGUGAAUCCAGAUCAAGCGAUUUCACGUAUAGGGCUUCAGGAGACAGUAGUGUACUGUAGCCCACUCAAUGUCGAUCUGUAUACCAUGUCCUUGUUGUAUUUGAGUGUUGAUUAGGGCUUAAUGUCCUUGUUGUAGCCCACUAAGUAAGGAAAUUUUAUAUACCGCUGAAUUGGCCGAUGGUACGAGACCAAAACUCAAAAAGUGGGAGCCUUACAUCAAAUGUACUGCUAAAAUUUUUCUCAUAUUUUUUCCCAUAUUGUUGAUAAAAAAACUUAUUAAAAUUUAGCAUUAAAAAAAAAACAAAUCAAUGGAUGAGGCUAAAUCAACAUUUUUACUUCCUAAAUCCUAACAUUGCACAAAUUUAAAUAGUAACGGUACGAAUUAGCAAUGCGCCAUCAAUUCAUCAAAGGCGUGGAGUUAACACAACGCGUAGGGUGUGUAAUUAUCACUUUGCAAAAGCCAAUCUUUCCAUCCACUCAUCAUACUAACUAGUAACUGCACACGACCAACCAAUCUAAUAACCCCCGGUUUAACUGCAAGUUGUGAAUACUCUACAUGGCCACAUAAAAUAGAUUUCUUUCAGGGUCGACACUUGAGUAUUCACCUUAAUAGUUGGAGUUGGAUGUUUUUCGCAUUUCCAUUUUAAAGAAGUGGAAUCACGAGUUGAAUUCUAGCCAAUUUAAAUCAGUUGAGUUGACUCAAUUCUUACCGUUUUUUUUUUUUUUAAUGUAAAUUUGUAGUAUAAUAGUAGGUGUAACAGGAGUGUUUGGAUAUCACUACUAUCUCAAAUAAUAUUUCGCUUGCAUCAUAAACACAUUUUCAACUCACUUUUUUUAUAUUUUCAAUCACCUUUUUAUCUUACAUACAUCACAUCACAUCACAAAAAGUACUACAGUAAUUAUUUCAAAUAAUACCCUAUCCAAACAAACAAUUGACCACUGCAUCAAAGCUGCACCAGCUUAUCAAAAAAAUAAUAACAAUAAUAAAAUUAAAUCAAAUUAACUAUGGAAUUGAAGUGGGCGCCCCACGUGCAUGAAAGAAGUGUAAGCGAUGGAGAAUGGGACGGCUGGAGAGCAUCCAAGUAACUUGAGCCACUCCCUUUUGUUUCCUCUCCCAUCCAGCCUUAUUGCAGCUUUGCUUUGUUUGUUUGCUCUAUUUUCUUUUUCUUUUUUUUUUUUCCCCGUUCCAUCCAAACUCCAAAGUGCGCCGUCCUCCCUUCCCUUCUGAGCUCUUUAACACUACCUAAAUUGCGGCACCACUGACUGCAACUCAUCAUCUGAUCUAAUAUAACUAUUUCACUUCUCCAUUUUCAGCGGCCACUCGAUCCUUCCUUCACGAACUCGCAAGUUUCCUAGUACGUCCAUCUCCCUCCUGCCUGGCAAAGUGAACAAGAGAUGUCAGACUGGGGUCCAAUAUUUGUGGCAGUGGUACUGUUCGUUCUGUUAUCACCGGGGCUGCUAUUUCAAAUUCCCGGCCACCACAGGUGCGUGGAAUUCGGCAAUCUUCAGACCAGUGGCGCUGCCAUAAUGGUGCAUUCCCUGCUCUACUUUGCUCUCAUUUCUGUCUUCUUACUGGCCAUCAAGCUCCAUUUGUACCUGGGGUAGAGUCUCAGAGACGACUGUGAAGGCACGAAUUUCUUUUCUUUUCUUCCUAUUUUUUUGUUUAAUUUAACCAAAAAAAAAAUUUGCGCCUCCACGGUGCGCAAACAUAAAACACAAAUGUCAAUAGUAAUAAUGUUAUAGUAGUAGUAUUUGUAUCUGCUGUUUUAAAUACUUGGGCUGGGACUUUUCGGUUUUCCCGGCCGGAAUCUACUGCAAUAUGUCUAAGUCGAGGGUUGCGCCUUAUCCAUUCAACUGCUUGAAUCUACUUCAAUUGAGUUGCACUGUUCAUUUUUUGUUGCUAUUUGCACGAACGAUCGUGCUCUAGGCGAUUGCUUCAUCAAUUACGAAGAUUAGGUGAAAUUACACAGUGUAUUCGUGGUGAAUUGGUGGAGUGGAUUUCGCUUAUAGAGUGGAUCGAUUGUGAUGUUGAACUCAUUGGUUACCAAUCAAAUUCUAGCUUCUUCAUAGAUAUAGAUAUAUACCUGUGUGUGUGUGUGUGAGAGAGAGAGAGAGAGAGAGAGAGAAUGAGAUUGUUGAGAAAUUGUCUGCACUUUGUACGAGUUUUAGUACUAAUAAUGGUACAAUUCCUUGGUGCAUUAGGAUGUCAAUUUACGAUGCUAGAGUGUAGAAUUAGCUUAUCUCAAAAUUAAAAGGGUACAAGUAAAAGACCAGAAGAAAGAAACAAAAUCCGAAACGCCUUGUUCUUUGGAGUAAUUUCAAACAACGAGAGGAGGAAGGUCCAUGCAAAGGCAUUCAAUGACUUGCAAGCAUUUAUUCGGCCAACAAUUUGCGACAAUAGUCAACAAAUUCAUUCCAGGCAGCUAUGCCAAUAAAUUGUGGAGUUACUGCUUAAAAAGAAAUCUCUGUACCAACGCCGAAUAAUUCUAGGCUCGUCUCAUGAAUGUGGUUGUGAGGUCAAAUCAUGGCUUGUUUUUUCCUUUUUUCUUUUUUUUUUUUCAACCAGCCUAGGAUGAAAUGCUAGCUGCAAUGAUGGUUACAGUACAGUUUCGAGAAGGAAGUCUUUCUUUCUAUCCAGACCACUCAUUUAAAAGAGAUGAUUAUAAUAAUAAUUAGGGUUAAUAACAGUACUUUGUUCCCCUGAACUUAGUGGGUAUUCACACUUUGUCCCCUUCAACCUUAAAAUAUGUACAUUUUUACCCCAUGAACAUUAGUCAAAGUUAGAAAUACCAACAAAAGUGAGUGAAAUGAUAUUAUUGUCCUUUUAUUUAUGAAAUUAUCUAUAACUUAAUAUUAUUAUUUCCUUUCAUUAUUAAAAAAUGUACAUCUUCCCUAUCAUAUCAAUAAUACAACAAUCUCUGGAAAAAAAAAGUUUACAUUUAUUUUAUGUCCUUAAAAUUUUUCCUAUUGGGUUAAUAUUCACUUUUUUUAAUAUGUUUCUUUCAAUUUAUUAUACUUUAAGUCAAACAAAAAAGGAUAAAUAAUAUAUUGCCAAAAUAAGGAUAAUUACCAUAUAUCUUAUUGAAAAAGAGGUAAUAUUAAACUUGUUUUUUGUUUUUAAAAAAAAGUAGUUUUUAUUAUUUCAGGUUACGCAAACUUUUAACUUAAUGCCAUUUUCAUUUUUUGUUGGUAUGCUCAUAGUUUAGUAUUAUUGCUUUUUCUUCUUUAAAAAAAAUGAAAUUUGAUUUUAUCUCCAUUUUUCUUCUUUAAUUUUAAAACUAAGGCAUAUCAGCCAUUUUUAGCGAAUUUGAUUAAGAAUUUAAUAUUGGAAUAAUUUGAUAAAUGAAAAUGACAAUGAUAUUAGUAUAAGAGUUUAAAAUAUUUAAAAUAAUAAGAAAUACUUUAAAAAUUAGUUUAGUAUUAUAACCUUUUUGAAAUUUUGGCAAUUGUAUUCAUUUUAGGCAUUGUGUUAUUGAUCCAUUUUGUUUGACUUAAAAUCUAAUAAAUUGAAUAAAACAUAUAUAAAUGUGAACAUUAAUCCAACAGAAAAAUCAAAGACAUAAACUAAAUAUUAACCAUCUUUAACUUUUUUUAGUUUGAUAUUUCUAUGCAGUUGAUAUGAUUGAGAUUAUGCAAAUCUUUUAGCAAUGGAAGAAAAUGAUACUAAAACCCUGAUAAUGAUCUACACGUACAAAGUUUCGGGUCGGGUGUUAUCCAAAUGCAGCAUGCUACUGGUACUGGUAAUAUUUAUCACGUCACUCGCUUUCAGGUCUACUAUUUAUCACGUCACUCGCUUUCAGGUCUACUAUUUAUCACGUCACUCGCUUUCAGGUCUACUAACCCGAAGGUAGCUUUUUUCACCUUUUAAAUGGUAAUAAAAGAUGAGAACUUGUUUUAGUAGAGCUUCAGUUGUUCACACGUUCCGCCAUUGCUAAAAGGAUCGUGAAUUGGUGGUUCGUCUCUUCUCAAGUGUAGGGCCCCAUGCGUUUUUCAUGAAUCAUCUACGUCUACUCACUCUCUUUCCCAUCAAGAAAUUGCAUACAAAAUAUAGUAGAUCAGCAUUUUUAUUUUACUUGCAUCAUACAUAUAAGUUUUAAUUAAUUUUUAUCUCACAUUCAUUAUAUCUACAAAAAUAUUACAUUAAUUAUUUUAAAUAAUAAAACCCCAAGCAUCCUCUUCUGUAUUUUGGUUCUUUACAGAAAAUGGUAUAGAAAUAAAAUUGCAUUCUAUUACGAGAAAGUGUUGGUACUUUUUUUUCGAAUACGAUAAAUUUUAUUCUAUACAUAUACCUAUUAUGUACUAAGGAGAAGGGGUGGAUUCAAGCGGAUCAAUGGAAAAGUCGGAAAGAACUGAAGCGCAUUGUUACUUUAAAAUUACAUAAGAUUUUACUAAUUCUGUUUUUAAUUUGCAAGAAGAACCACAUACUGUCUGGAAUCAUUGGGUUUGUUUGGAUAGAGUAUUAUUUGGAAUAAUUACUGUAGCAUUUUUUUAUGAUGUGAUGUAUGUGAAAUAAAAAAAAUAAUUAAAAAUAUAAAAAAAUAAGUUGAAAAAUAUAUUUAUGAUGUAAAUCAAAUAUUAAACAAAUCCAUUAUUACUUUCCCAUGCAGGGGCGGGGCUGCUCUUUCAAGUAAACUUUCGGCAGCAAUUUUUUUGUUUUUUAUUAACUCCCCGGUAGCUUAGCUUCCCGACUGAAGCAAACUUGCCUUCGCUUUUAAAAGACCAUUAACUUAUUACUAUUAGUAGUACUCGGUGCUUUUAAGCAUGCAGCUCAAGACGAAAAAUCAACCCAGUUGCUUCCCUUAGCUAUGCUACUUCCGCGCGAAAUUCCAGACAAACACGAAAAAAAACCAAUAAUAAUAAUAAUAACACGUACUACUAACCGUCGCCUAGCAAAUCGAAUGCUGUGUAUCUCAUCACCCAAAGCUAUGAAAGCCACUUAAAAAAAAAUUCAGAAAAGCUAUGUUUAUGAUAUUUUUUUUUUUAAGGACAAAGCUAUGAAACUUGGGUAAAACAAAAUACUAGUAGUACUUACUAUACGGUGCAGCAACUCAAAUGACUAAUUAAUUAAUUAAUUAAAUAAAAUGGCGUGGUGCAGCAGCAAGAUCCAGAUGGAUAGCAGGGACAACCCGCCCAAUCUUUAAGAUACUGCCAGUCUGCCACGUACUAGUAAAUGCUUUUGGGUCACAAGGACCGUAACCCCAUCCCCAUUGCCCGUUUCACUUUGUAACUUUUUUAGUAUGCCCCAAAUCCACACAGCUUUUCUACUACUACUACUAACUUUAUGACAACGAUUUUAGCUGUAUCCUAUUCCUCCCAUUCUUGUUAUUCCUUUCUUUGCUCACUCCUUCAAGAAUCCGCUGCCUUUAAUUUUUUCAAGCCUAUAAGUAGUACGGUGUAAUCAAUCUUUCUUAGCUUAGCAAAACUGGUGUGUAGUGAUAGUAAAAGAAAGAGGGAGAUAGGGAAGGCAGGACUCAGGAGAGAAGAGAUCCAGCAGCAGUAGCAAGUUGUGAGAGUAAGAUGGCAGAUUGGGGGCCGGUGGUAAUAGCGGUGGUGCUGUUCGUGCUGUUGAGUCCAGGGCUGUUGAUUCAGUUACCGGGGAGAUCAAGAGUGGUGGAGUUCGGAAACAUGCAGACAAGUGGGCUGUCGAUACUGGUUCACACCAUCAUCUUCUUUGGCCUCAUCACCAUUUUUCUCAUUGCCAUUGGGGUUCAUAUCUACACCGGCUAGACCAAACCACACCAAUCCCCCCCCCCCCAGCUAGCUUCUUCUUCUUCUAUAAACGUUUUUUCCUAUUGCUGUCUCUGUCUGUCCACAGAUAUCUUGAUUUCUUAAUUUCUUCUUGUUUGCUGGUGUAGUUUGACUGGGUUGAGCCCCUGAAGCUGCACGGGAUUUUAUCGUGUUCUCAUUGGGGAGGGGGCCACUGUGUGGUUGGUCUGCUUUAAUUUGCUUUCGUUCAGUAAUCGGUGUUGUUUUGGGCUUUUCAAGUGCAUUUCAAUAGAUAGUUUUUGCAAUCUAUAUACUGCUGCCGUGCUACGUUACUAGUAUCAAAAAAGCAGCUGCUACUUCAAAGUUCUUGCAUCUUUUAAUUGUACUUACAAAUUUGUGCACGCAUUCUUGCAUCUUAAUUGAUUAAUUUCUGUCUUGAAACUCGUUUCCGCAAUUGGAUGAGCGAUUUGAGAUUUGCCGUUCCCGUGACCCGACCCAUCUUCAAUCAAUAAUUUUUGGUGUUAUCUGAGCCCUUUCACUAAAGUGAUAGUCUAGUUGCUUAAUUGCUAGAGGAUUAGCCCGCACCAAAACGUAAACAAUUCGUAUUCAUUACUACCGUUGCCUCGAGAAGACUUUAGGAUGCGAUUCUUCCACAAAAUUCAACAAAUGCAUAGACGAAUCCAGCGCACCAGGCUGCUUUGAAUCCAUGCCAACACAAGUCAUCAAUCCUCCUUAAGUAGGACUCGGAUUUUUUUCACUUCUUGCAUCUGGUGUUUUCUUUUGUCACAAGGCAAGACAUCUGGGGUUUUCUUGCAUCUGGUGUUGAAACCCAGACAUGUCUAUCCUGGUCCUUGUUUAGAUUGCGAUUUUUCGUCGAAAAAUUACAUCAUUUUUCGUGAUCUCGAAAAAUUACAUCGUUUUUCGUGAUCACAUUUUUUAAUUAUCUUUUUUCCUCAUAUACAUCAAAUCGCUGUAGUACUUUUUUCAUAAAAAAUCAUAAAAAAUGCAAUCCAAACACAACCCUAAUUAUCGACUUGUACUUCUGAUACCCAAAAAGAAAUGGUACACAUUCAACAGCUAACAAUUCAUGCCUAUUACUUGCUCUCUGUUUCCAAAUGAAAGGAUGCGCGACAGAGAGUAUAUAUUCAAAGGCACAAAAAGCCAUAUCAUCGUAACAUAACGUGGUGCAGAGAUGUGUUAAAACUGUAGAAAGAAAUUGGUUUCUCCUAUUUCUUUGUUUUGACUUUUGAGUAGUAAUAAUAAGGCUCCCCCUGCCCUAUAUA